CCAGCCUUUUUGUUUUAGAGAUGGUGGUUAUAACCAUAGUUUGUAAUCCUAUAAUGCAUUUAAGGCGAAUACAAGUUAUUAAUAUGUUCUCUGGUAAAAUGUGCUCUUUUAAUGCAAUCUGGAUUCUGGACAAUUAAAUUUACACCUGCAGGUGUUUGUCUCACAAAUAAACUACAUUACGUUCACUCUACUAUAUAGGUGCAUAGGUUGCUUCUGAUUUAGAGUGCGCUUUUGAGAGAGAUGGAUUUGAUGACCAUUUGGUCUUCAAGGCCUUAUUUUGGAAAGCUUCAGUAUGUCCUUGGAAUUACAGGGAUCUUGAGAUUGUUGACUUCAUAAUGUCAAGAUAGUCAAUUUCAGGAAAAGUGCUUAGUUUAGAGAGAGAGUAAUUAGACAGUCUUUAGUAGUCCCAUCUUUACUUCAUACCAUGCUCUGCAUAGAAAAGGGGUUGUUGGGGGUGUAUGUUGGCUUGUUGGGUUGUGGACUGAAGCAUAGAGAUGAAUUGAAGAUGAAGCUCAGUCUGGGAACUUAUUAGCUUUUUAUGUAUUAUUAAGUAUUUGCUUGCAUUCUGGGCAACCAAUACGUCUGUUGAGGCCAACCAAUUUGCAUUUAAGAACUAAGAGAAAAAUCGCAUUUUAAGUACUAAAUCUUAAUUACCACAUGGACCCUUAGUAAAGUGACACUUAUUUUCCCUUGUGCCAGUAUACCUCAUAGACAUAAAUGCACAGGUUAUCUUGAUAGGUGGCUGCACCUGCAUUAGUUUUAGAAGUUUUACACUAUGAGAGCCACUCAUACAUAAUUUCUUCAGUCUUGUGACUUUUAAUUCUUGCUUGCUGCUUGUAGCUUUGUAUUUCAUAUCCAUCAUAAAUACAUUGGUUUCCAUCUCCUACAUGGAUGUGCAUCUUUAUAGUUAUUUUGGGUGCACCUUGUCUGUGGAACUUUUGUUGCCUUCCCUUACCAUGUUUCUUGUUUGAUAGCUUUAGAUGUUAGCAUGAGAUGUUAAAUUUCAGAUCUUACAUUCUCUAUUUUGAUGGGAUUUACCUUGUUUAUUAUCAGGAUGGUAGAUUCAGGUCAAAACGUGAUUCAAGAAAAGGAGGUAUAAACUUUAAUCAUAUUAAAAUUUCAAUUUUCUUAAGAUUCUUUGAAAUUUCAUAUUAAAUUAGCCCUUUUCUAUAAUUUCAAAUGAUAAUAUUAUAUGGAUUCUGCAGGUGGAAAGAAAGGUAGAGGGAGGGGCAGCGGUGGUCGAGGUGUGCGUGGGGUGGAUUUUGGUCUGGGUAUUGGAUAUAAUACGGAGUCCAAUAAUUCUUCAUCGAAUACUGUUGCUAGUCGAUCUGCUGCAGUAACUCCUCAGAGGACAGGAAUGAUGUCUCAGUUCAAGACUAAAUUUGUUGCCGCUUCAUCCAACUCUCCUAGUCAUGGUUCAGGUAACAGCUCUAGUGUGCCCAGCAGACCGGCAUUACGAGGAUUUGUAUCCGGUGGUUCAAUCGGUGGGGAUGUAUAUAGAACUCAGACAACCAGUACAAUUACUCCUGCUCCUCCUACAUCAGUGAUAAAUAAAACUGGUCCUCAGAACACUGGAGAAAAUUCAAGUCAGAAACCCUCUGAAAGGUUAAUAAAACUGGUGGUCAAUUAUAAUUUUCAAUGUCCCUUUAUGUAUUUGUUUGGUGCUGAUCAGUUUCAUUUGUUGUGUCUAUUGCAGUUCUAGAGAGAAACCUAGAGAAAGGCGGAGGCGCUCCGGUUGGGACUGUUAAUUGUACAGUUGAACUACACCACUCUCACAUCAUGAAUGACAAGUUUUGUUUUUGUUAUAGAUCAAGUCCUGAUAUGCCUGUAUUAUUGUUGAUCUUGGUAAGUUUACUUAUUUAUCUUUAGUUGGGUUCCUAAUUAUGUAUGCUUGUACUUUUCGUUCCAUACGUUGAAAUUGGCUUCGACUGCUAGAUCAUUCAAGUUGGUCACUUUCUUUGUCGCUAUGUUUUUUAAGUUGAAAAAAUAGAAGAUAAUUUUCUAAACUUGAUUGACUUGCUGCGCAAAUAGUGGAUGAUCUAAAAUAUCUUGACCAGCAUGUCCCGUUCGUUUAUAUCUUGUGUAGUGAUUUAUAGCAAACUUGUGGUUCUUUUGUUUAUCGCAUUUGAUUUCAAAAUUAAACUCUGCAAGAUUAGUCAUACCUUCUUUUCUUUUUCAUGCUGUUGCAGAUCGAGCGGGAAGAAUCUGAGUUCAUAUUACUUUUCUCUGUUUUGUAAAUUCAUGUUGCUCUCAAAAUAUGCAUCCCCUGUCAGAGUUAAUCUCAUCACUUCGCGUCUUGAUGUAGAUUAUACGUUCCCGUAUGACAUUUUCUUUGGUAGUUCCUUACCACUGAGCUGUGAGCACUGAGCCUCUUCAUAGACUAGCUUUGAAGGUUGUAGUCCUUGUUGGAUGUUUUACAGAUUUGUAUUCCCAGAAUUAUUGCACUUGACAAUAAUGCGGAUGCUUGUUUUCUGAACGUGGAUUGUCGAAAGAAUAGAUAGUUUGGAGAUUGAUAAAAAUAAAUAAAUAAAUGAAGACAGUUUGGAGAUUGGUCAAUCUCGUGCGAGUCAUUGUUUAAUAAAGGCUAGACAUCGUUUAAAAUGGUCUCUCUUCCGCGGCAGUUGCACCACUUUUUCCUUACCAACCCUUAACACACGGUUUCUGGACUCACUCUCUGUAUUUUAAGAAUUUAUGGUCAUUCAUAAAUCAUCUUUGUAAUAAUUAUAUAAACCAAAAUUUUGAAGACAUUAAUUUGCAAUGAAGAAAUGGAUCAGAUAUAGAUGAUCUUUUGGUAGAUAUAAUCUUUGAGAAAAGAAUAAGUGAUAAACGUUUCAGAUCGUUUGAAUUCAUAAAUAAGUAUUGCAAAAAUGUGUGUCAAACAUUAUGAACAAAAAAUGAUACCCGGAUUGAAUGGAUGAACUUGCUCUGAUAGAUUUUCCUUGGCAUUUCUCUUUUUUUUUUUUUAAUUUCAUCAUGGGAGCUGAUCGUCAAACUCUCCCCUAAUAGUCAAACUCCUCUCAUAUUUUAUAUUAUCCUCACCGUCCCAUUGACUUAAUCCAUCGGGGAAACUUCCUCGUCAAUAAGUGUGGAGUGUCUUGGUGGCUACUAAGAAUCUUCCCUCUAACUCAUAAACGGUAAGGUUUAACUCCCUCUUAUUUACUGUACUUUAUUUUUCUUGUUUUACUAGACGCUUGCCAAAAACUUAUGGGUGCGAUAAUUGGUCUUUUAUGUUAAAUUAGAAAUUUUUUUAUGAUUUAAAAAAAAUUGAAAAUUAAGUCAUUUUGUUUAUAUAUUUGUCAAUCAUAAAACACCUAUCAAUUUAACUUCAUGGGUAAAUUACAGUUUGUAGGAGGCGCAAUGGCUGCUGAGGCCGAUGAUGUCGAGUAGUGGGCGGCGCGCGAGAGGAGGUUGUGAGGGGGGAUCUAGGGGUGGGCUCGGGUGGGGAAAAGGGGGUGUCUCUGAUUUGGGAAAGACGAAGGGGUUUCUGGGUUUAGGGAUUAGAGAGAGAGGGAGUGUGAUUUGGGGGUGGGCUCGGAUGGGGAAAACGAUUUGGAUUUUAUUUUAUUUUUUAAAUACUUUUUUAAUUAAUUAUUUUAAUAUUUUAAAUAUUUUAUUAAGUGUUUAGUCACAUGAUACAAAUGUGGCAGCUACGUUAACAUAAAUGGGAACCCCUUAUUCGUCACGUCAUCACUUAACGGUUAACUUAAUAGAUUUUUUAACAGUUAUAUAAAAUUAAAAAAAAAUAAUACUAAAUGUAUGAGAUUGAAAUAUUUUAAAAAUAUUGUAUAAUGUUGUAAUUGCAUCGAAAUCUGAAGGGGUAAAAUGUCAUUUACCUUAAGAUUUAUGUACACCUGGUAAGUUUUUUUUGUCCUAGUUUCAUCAAAGAACUGCUAGUGGGGAUACUCUACAAAAACUGAUAGUCAAAGACCUCAAAGUCUAUAUUAUCCUCAACAUCUCAUUCACUUACGAGGAAACUUCCUCGUCAUUUAGCGUGGAGUGCCUGGUGGCUAAUAGGAACCUUCCUCGUCAUAUAUAAUAUUAUGUCUUGUCCUACUUGUCCCUCUCAGAAACUGCAUAUAAUUGUCCUUGGCCUUGCAUGUGCUUGCCCUGCAUUCAUUCACUGCAAGUACCAAGAAGCAGAGAGUUUCUCCAGAUGGAUGCUUUCCGAGAUUCUUCUUCCUCCUCUUAUCGGUGUUCUUAUCAUGCAUUCUUGAGUUUCAGAGGCCAGGAUGUUGCGCGGAACCGUGAAAUAUGAAACUAUUAAGUAGCAAAAUAUGACAAGACAAAUAAUUCAAAUGACACAAGAAUUUGUACUAGUUUGGUGUAAGCUUACGUCCAGUUAUUAGACGGUGAGAAAAUUCCACUAAUAACAAGAUGGAAAUUACAAAUAAAGUUUAACUCUCAAAUCCCAAAUCUCCCGUACAUCCAAUAGCUCUCACUCAAACUAAAAAAAAAUGAAGAAGAAACACAUAUUAAAAUCCUUAUCUCCAAAAAAACUAUACAACAGAGCACCAAUAUCUUUGAUUGAGUGAUUACUAACAAAUGUGGAGAAGCAACGACACUUCUUCAAAUGAGAGAGCCGAAUGCUCUCCUUGUACAGCUCUCCUAACCUCUCGGCUGCUAUGCUUCUGCUUUUAAACAUGGGGACUUUAUCGAAAAGUUUUCGGUACUGUUUAUUUUAAUGAAAAACCACGUUUUUACAUUAAAAAGUCAAUCCUGAUACUAUUUACUUUACCCUUUAUUUUGUCCUUAUAGUUAAAACUCAAAGUUUUCAAACUAUUUUCAUUAGUUUCCUUUUAAACAAAUAGCUGCUACUACUUCCAACCAAACGCCCACUAACCUUUUUCCAAAUUCUUGAGAGAUUUUUCAGUGUGACUGUCACACGAGGUGGUAUAUCACGUGUCCCUAUAUAAAUGAUGAAUUAUGUGUAUUAAAAUGUUAAUAACUUCAAAAUUAAAAAUUUUCACCAUUUUCAUAAAAACAUAUGAUGUAACAUUAAUGUCCAAUUACAACUAAAAAUUUCUCUCAAUUCUUUACUCUCUCUGCCAAAAGCACAAGCACAAGCACAUGUGCAAAGAGGAGCGGACCAGCACACCCGUGCUCUUUGCUUUCCUUCUCAAACAAAACAUCAUGAUUGCUGUCCUCUUUUUCUUUUCUUUUUUCGGCCGCACUGCUUUCUCUGCCAAAAGAUCACACUCGUUCUUUUUACCCAAAUAAUGGUGCUCACCGAGAAAACCAAUUCUCUUCUCUGCCUUUGAAAAAUGCCAAAAGAAAAAAGGAAUCUAGCAAACCCUUUUUCUACAAAAAUCAUCAUGCCUUUACUUUUAUUAGCCAAAAGUUUGCCAAAUUAUUUGGCUACUAAUUCAACAUCCCAUUCACUUACGAGGACACUUCCUCGUCAAUAAGUGUGGAGUGCCUGGUGGCUAAUGGGAACCUUCCUCUUCAUAUAUAUGUCCCUCUCAGAAACUGCAUAUAAUUGUCCUUGGCCUUGCAUAUGCUUGCCCUGCAUCCAUUCAUUGCAAUAACCAAGAAGCAGAGAGUUUCUCUAGAUGGAUGCUUUCCGAGAUUCUUCUUCCUCCUCUUACCGGUGUUCCUAUCAUGCCUUCUUGAGUUUCAGAGGCCCAGACACGCGCAAGGGCUUUACUGAUCACCUCUAUAUAGCCUUGGAGCAAGCAGGAAUCCACACGUUUAGAGACGAUGAUGAAAUCGAGAGAGGGGAGAAUAUUGAGUUGGAGUUAGACAAGGCGAUACAGGAGUCACAAGUAUCGAUAAUUGUCUUCUCCAAGGGCUACGCUUCCUCAAGGUGGUGUUUGAACGAACUUGUGAAGAUCGUGGAACGUAGAAAUACUGAUCGUAGACAUGUGGUUCUGCCAGUUUUCUAUGAUGUGGAUCCAUCCGAUGUCAGGAAGCAGAGUGGUUCUUUUGCUGAAGCAUUUGCCAGACAUGAGGAGCGAUUCAGUACGGAGGAGAUGGACAAGGUAGAGCAGUGGAGAAGAGCUCUUAGAGAUGUUGCAUCUUUGGGAGGAAUGGUUUUAGGAGAUCGGUAAUUUCUUUUCUCAUUAUGUUCUCACGCUAAUUGAAAGUGUCUUUUAAAUUAGAAAACUAGAUUUUAAUCCCUAAACAAGGUAGAGUUUAGAAAAAUAUUUUAUACAAGAUUAAAAAUUGAUUUUAGUCAUUAGACGUCAGCAUAUAUAUAUAUAUAUUCAAUGUCUCUUGUUUUAUUUAUAAUUUUAUGAAAAUAUUAUGAAUUUUAAUUCUAUAAGAAAAUAUUUUCGUAGAGAUUUUUCGGUACGCAUAUGUUUUUGCAUAUUUUCUUAUUUGCCACUAAUUCAUUACAAUAUAUUUAGGUACAAAUAUUUUGGUACACUGGGUUAGUAUAAUAUGUUUAGGUACGGACAUUUCGGUAAACUAGUUUAGUAUACUAUAUUUAGGUACUGACAUUUCGGUACACUAGUUUAAUAUCAUAUAGUUAGGUAUGGAAUUCUCGGUUUACUUAUGUUUUUAUAUAUUUUCUUAUGUGUCACUAAUUCACUACAAUAUAUUUAGGUACUUGCAGUUGGGUACAUUAAUUUAGUAAAAUAUAUUAUGAUACAGACGUUUAGGUAUACUAAUUCGAUAAAAUUAAAUAAAAUUUAUUAAGUUAAAUAAAAUUAAUGAAUUAAAAUGUGUAUAAUAAUAAAUUUAAAAUUUAAUGUAAUAACAUUAAAUAAGUUAUCUAUUAAAUAUAAAAACAAAAAUAUAAUAUGAAUUUGAAUUAAGUACACAUUAAGGGACUAAAAUCAAUAUUCAAUCAAACACAAGAUUUUUAUUAAAUUUUAAUUUUCUUGAAGGAUUAAAGUUCAAAAACCCUUAUAGAAAACUAAAUUUUAAUCCUUGGCAAAUACGACUUUUAGACUAAAACCAUGAGUAAAAUCAAAAUCUAAUUUUUGUCCUAUGAUACAUUAAUAACCUCAUUUAUUAAUUAUAUAUAUUUUUUAAUUAUUUCUCUUUUUCUUCCUAAUUUUUAAUGUAUUAAUUUUAUUUCACUAUAAUUUUCAUUUUCAUUUCAUUUAUCGUAAUAUAUUUUGUUGUAAACAUUUAGAUAAACUAAUUUUCGUUACAUAAUAUAUUUUGAUGUACUUUGUCUUUUUCAUUUAGGUAUAUUAAAUUCAUUAUAAUACAUUUCAAUGCAUACAUUUAGAUACACAUAUUUCGGUACAUACAUUUCGACAUAAACAUUUAGGUACAUUAAUUCAAUAUAAAAUAUUUAGAAAACUAGAUUUUAAUUCUUAAAUAAGAUGAAGUUUAGAAAAAUGUCUUAUACAAAAUUAAAAAUUGAUUUUAAUCCUUAGACUCUAUUUAAUGUCAGCACAUGUAUUCAAUGUCUAUUUUUUUUUAUUUAUAAUUUUAUAAAUUUAAAUUUUAUGAAAAUAUUAUAAAUUUUAAUUGUCAUUAUGGUAAGCAUCUUAUAUAAGAAAAUAUUUUCGUAGAGAUUUUUUGGUACACUUAUGUUUUUGCAUAUUUUCUUAUUUGCUACUAAUUCAUUACAAUAUAUUUGGGUACAAACAUUUCGGUACACUGGGUUAGUAUAAUAUGGUUAGGUGCGUAUAUUUCGGUACACUAGUUUAGUGUAAUAUAUUUAGGUACCGACAUUUGGGUACACUAGUUUAGUAUCAAAUAGUUAGAUACGGAAUUUUCGGUACACUUAUAUUUUUACAUAUUUUCUUAUGUGUCACUAAUUCACUACAAUAUAUUUAAGUACGGGCAUUUCGGUACACUAAUUUAGUAAAAUAUAUUAUGAUACAGACGUUUAGGUACACUAAUUAGGGAAAGUUAAAUAAAAUUAAUGAAUUAAAAUGUGUAUAAUAAUAAAUUUAAAAUUUAAUGUAAUAACAUUAAAUAAGUUAUCUAUUAAAUAUAAAACAAAAAUAUAAUAUGAAUUUGAAUUGAGUACACAUUAAGUGACUAAAAUCAAUAUUCAAUCUAACACCAGGUUUUUAUUAAAUUUUAAUCUUCUUGAAGGAUUAAAGUUAAAAAAAACCCCUUUUAAAUUAAGUAAAGGUUUUUUUAGCCAAAAUGAUCAUGAGAUUUGCAUAACUCACAACUUUAGUCCCUGAGAUUUAAAAUCAAUAGAAGGAGUCUUUGAGAUUGUCCACCAUCAAUCAUUUUGGUUCUUGGGUGAAAAAUUAAGUUAAAUAAGGAUCAAAAUGAUAAAAUUAUCCUUAAUUUAAUAAACAAUAGGCCAAAAUGAUUUGACCAAAUUGAGGGUAUUUUUAUCAUUUUAUCCUUAUUUUAUGGAGAUUUUUCACUAAAUAACCAAAAUGUGAACAAACUCGGGACCAAUUAUAUCGAUUUCAAAUAUCAGGACCAAAGUAAGCAGUUGUGUAUUUUGGCUAAAAAACCUUAAGUAAAAUUGUAGAUGGCAGUGAAACUUGAAGUUGUUCGAUUUUGGUUUAUAUGCUCCUAUAUAUACUGCGAUUUUGGUUUAUAUUUUUCUAUCGAUUUUGGUUUAUUUGUUCUCAUGCUUAUUUCUGCGUCGUAUAUUUCGAUUCAAAUGAAUUACAGGCAUGAGGGGCAGUUCAUCCGAGAAAUUGUUGAAAAGAUUAGAAAUAAAAUGGGUCACGCAGCUUUACACGUCACUCCCUUUGCAGUUGGAAUGGAUAAUCGUGUGAGACGCCUAAACAUGUGGUUACAAGAUGGAUCAAAUGAUGUUGGUUUAGCUGUCAUCUGUGGGAUGGGUGGAAUUGGCAAGAGCACCAUCGCGAAAGCCGCUUAUAACCGCAACUUUGAAAGAUUUCAAGGUAGCAGCUUUCUUGCAGGUAUACGAGAAUCUUCAGAACAAUCCAAUGGUGUUGCUCGCUUGCAAAGAAAACUUCUUUCAGAUAUCCAAAAGGGGAAAGCAAAGAAAGUAUACAAUAUGGAUGAAGGAACAAUCAGGAUCAAACAAGCCGUAGGCAAUAAAAAAGUUCUUAUUGUUCUUGAUGAUGUGAGCAACCGGGAUCAACUCAAUGCAAUUCUUGGAAUGCGAGAGUGGCUUCAUCCAGGAAGUAAAAUUAUCAUAACAACUAGACAUGAGCAUUUGUUAAAUGCUCAUGAAGUUUUUGAAAAGUUUAUGGUUCAAGAACUGGAUGAGGAUGAAUCACUUGAGCUUUUCAGUUGGCAUGCCUUCGGACAAUCCCAUCCAGUAGAAGGUUACAUGGAGCUUUCAAGACAUGUGGUGCAGCACUGUGGAGGGCUUCCAUUAGCUCUUCAAGUUCUGGGAUCUUCUCUAUCUGGAAAAAGUGUAGAAGUGUGGAAAAGUGCAUUGAAGAAGUUAGACCUGAUCCCUAAUGACAAAAUUCAAAAAGUUCUGAGGAUAAGUUUUGAUUCUUUACAAGAUGAUCAUGACAAAAAUUUAUUCCUUCAUAUAGCCAGUUUCUUCACAGGAAAGUCAAUGGAUUAUACAAGUGCAAUGUUGGACAGCUUAGAGUUUUGCACAAGGAUUGGGAUUGAAAAUCUAGUUGACAGAUACCUAGUGGAAAUUCAAGGGUCGAAGUUGGUCAUGCAUCAAUUGGUGAGAAACAUGGCAAUGGCAAUUAUUCGCGAAGAAUCACCUGAUGAUCCUGGAAAACGUAGUAGAGUGUUACAGAAUGAUGCUUCUAAUAUUUUGAGAAAAUUAAGUGUAAGAACUAAGUUUUUCAUGCGUAUGUUUUUAGUUAUGAUUUACAUGUGUAGUACUAGUUACCCAAAUGCUCUGAUUUUUUUUGCAGGGCACGGAAAAUAUUAAGGGCCUCAUGCUCAACCUUGCUAGCAAAAGAACGUUUGUUGGAAGUGAUAAAAAACAAUGCCAUGUUGAAGAUUAUGAUAGAAAUUGUUCAAGACAACGUUGGCUUGGUUUCUUGUCUUGGAAGCCAAUUAGCUUUUCCUCCACAAACUCAGCUUCUGCAUCAAAUGAGAUAGAUUUCAAAUCUGAGGCGUUUAGAAGGAUGCACAAUCUUGAAAUUCUCAUUCUCAACAACGUCAACGUCGAGGGAAGCUACGAAGAAUUUUCAAAAAGUUUAAUAUGUUUAUCUUGGAGAGGAUUCCACUUAAAAUCAAUACCAGAAAAUUUUUAUUUGGAAAACCUGGUUGUUCUUGACAUGCGAAAUAGUAGCCUACAACAUGUUUGGAAUGGGAUCAGGGUACGUAACCCUCUCUCUCUCUCUCAUUCUUUCUCUCACACAUGUCCAUUAUAUCUUCUUAGAAAUUGAUUAAUACUUGUUAUUGAAACAGUUUCUUCCGAGGCUGAAAAUUCUUAAUCUCAGUCAUUCGCAUGGCCUUAGGACAACCUCCGACUUCUCAGGACUCCCUAACCUUGAGAGAUUGAUUCUUAAAGAUUGCAUAAAUUUGGUUGAGGUUGAUGAGUCCAUCGGAUACCUAGAGAAACUUGUUGUUUUGAAUCUAGAAGGCUGCAAAAAUCUCAUGAAGCUUCCAAAAUUGAGAUCUAUUCAGGAUCUUAUUCUUUCUGGUUGCUCAAAGCUUGUGCUUGGUGCCAAUACGACUGCCACAACUGGUCACUUACAAUCUACAGCUUGUGAAAUGAAGAAACUCAAUCUGCUAUCAGCUAAAUCAUGGUAUUCAAUCUGGUCGCAGGUGUCGCCAAGAAAAAAUAUUGAACCAAGCAGUUUCUCAUUGGCAAGUUUACCACAUUCCUUGACAAGUUUACGUCUGGAUAGCUGCAAUCUAUCAGAGAUUCCGAGUGCCCUUACUAUGCUGUCUUCGUUAGAGUACUUGGAUCUGUAUAACAAUCCAAUUACAAGCCUACCAGAGAGCAUGAACAAUCUUGUUAGGCUUCACACUCUUGCAGUAGAAGGUUGCAGAAACCUCACAAUGCUUCCAGAGCUCCCACAUAGUUUGAAACAAUUGAAUGGUAGAGGUUGCACAUCAUUGAAAAGAAUAACAAAUUUACCGAACUUGCACAUAUCACCUACCGUAUAUCCCUUCGGCAUGCAAAAGGACUUAGAUUUAAUGCAUUACAAUAUAGUAUUGGACUCAAAUUUAUGGUAUUGUGGGAAACUAGUUGAUGUUGCAAGCUUGUUCAAUACACUACCAUUGAGCAGCUUUGACAUAAAACUCCUCAAAGAUAUGGAUCUAUUCGAUUUGAAACCCAACGGUGGCGUAGAGGUCCAAAGGAACAACGAUUGUGCAAGUUUUAGCAAGCCAAGGCGCUCCAAGGUUCUCUCUCUCUCUCUCUCUCUCUCUCUGCUAUGUACAAGUGCUUAUAAUAUGAUCUCUAUGGCGUAAACAAUUAGAUUGUAAUCGCAGGGAACUUUUGAAUGCGGCAUAAUUAGCAUUUUUGUGCACGAGAGCAAGAUUCCAGAUCGGUUCAAUUACAGGUGGAUGCCUCCAGAUCGGUUCGAUUACAGGAGCAUGGGUAACACUGUGUUCUCUAUUAUUGUUCCUUCACAGCCUAAUAUCAAGAUCGUAGGUUUAAAUGCAUGUAUACUGUAUGCCCGGCAAUCGGAUCGAAGCCCUGUGAUUCCAUUUGGGAUUCCAUUUGGAAACUCUCAUGCCCAUUCGCUUGAACUUAGGAAUGAGACAAAGGGCCUUAAGUGGAACUUAAGAAUGUCGACUGGGGUUGAAUGGAAAGUGAUGAACGAAGAUAUGUUAUGGCUAAGCCAUUGGAUUAUGGGGAACAAUGAAUUGGAGUGCGGGGAAAAAGUGUAUUUUAGACUAACCGAAGAUCAUGACGAUUUAUUCACAAAGGGGAUUGGAGUCCAGUUUGGGUACGAGCAGCAAAAUAAGGAUAAGGAGGAUGUCCCAUCAAGUAGUGAAGAUCCAAUGAUCCUACCUGACAGAUCGCCUUGGGACGGCGGUCACGCUUCCAGCUGGGUAACGGAUUCAUGUCAGAGAUUUAUCGGGCCGAAAUGGAUCGAGAACCUUAAGAAGGAAUCUAUUUCAACUGUCGUGUGCGCGGCUAAUUACUCUCUCUGUAACCAUGAAGUGAUCGACCUUGAGAACGAGUCCCGCAUGACGCCAUGGUAACGAGUGCUCUAAACUAUUACCCAGGUUAAUUCAAAUUGAUGGUGAUGAUGCACAAAUCACUAAAUUCAAAUGUGUAUUGGUUGUUAAGCUUCGUUUCUAUCCAUUUUCAAUUUUCCCUAAAAAAUUGUUUUCAAUAAAACCUGUUUUGAAGAAAAAUAAAGUUUCAGAGCCCAACUAGAAAAUAAGCCCACGAGUUGUGGUGUGAACUAACUGUUUCAGGCGUAACUGCAUGAAUAAGACACAUUUCACACGUAACUGAAUAAAUAAGACACAAAGUGCAAGAAGUAAAGCUCAUAUUUAGCAGUGUUAUUUUAACAACAAUUGUUCAAGUGGUGGAUUGCCCCGGUGGGUAGGGCAUUUCUCUUAGUCCUACUGCAUUCCGGGUUCAAAGUUCCAACCAUCCCCCGUACCAGUUUAAGCACACCAAAGACCAAAUUUAGCAUGUUCUGUCGUCAUCCACCCAACCCAGCAGAUAUACAAAAUUCAAAUAGAACUUGGCAAAUUCAUCCUCUUAAAAUACAAAACGAAAAUAAUUUAUGAUCACUGACCUCUGAGAAUCGAAUGAUAUUCGGAUUCUUCAAUGAUCUGUGGUUCAUGAUUUCCCCUUGAACAUGUUCAUCCAUCUGCAUCACCAAAAAAAAAAAAUAUUUAAAAAAAAUACAAAAUGAAAAUAGUUUAUGAUCACUAACCUCUUUGGAUCGAAUGAUAUUCGGAUGGUCCAGUGAUCUAUGGUUCAUGAUUUCCCAUUGAACAUGUUCAUCUAUCUGCAUCACCAAAAAAUUAAUAAAUAUUUUAAAAAAAAUACAAAAUUUAAAGGAUAAGAAUUGCGAAGAUUCUUAGGUCUUAGUUCGAAAUGUAAUAGCUCAUCUCACCUCCAUAUAUUACCAAAUCUUAGUCUAUAUGAUUUUGCCAGAGCCACCGAAUGUUGAUAUAUAUCUGUUGCAUGUUCUACUACCAUCAACAUUAUAAAGGUUUCUAAUUGAAUCAUAUAUUUAAAAUCCAAGCAUGAAAGUUUUACAAAGAUAAAUAAACAAAUGUAAAUAACUAAUUAGGCAAUACACAGCAGAGAGGGGAGAGAGAGAGAGAGAGAGCAAUUGAAGGGAAUGCAUAGUUAUCUCUAUCUUCGGAAAAAAAAAAAGAAAAAAAGAGAGCAGUUGAAGGAGUGAGAAGCAAAGCAGCAUACCAAGUGGAGAGUAAGCAAUUAAGCAUAGUCAUCUCACGUACGGAUUGCCUGAGAACUGAUCUUUGCUUCUCUUCCUUAUGAUCCUCUUAAAUGCAAUUCUACACAUUUCUAAACCAAAAUUGCAAAGCAGAAUUCAAAGAAAUUUAAAGAAACCUAGUAAAGAUUCAAACUUUUUUAUUAUCCAAAAGAUGUACAUAACCCCAUGUAACAAAAACAAAUUUAUGACACAAAAGAAAUUAUCUUUAGCCACAAAAAGCAAAAAAGAGAAAGAGAGAGAUUUUGCUUUUUGCACUAUGCAGAAUGUGCAGAGAAUCAAAAUAUCAUAACCCAUUUAACAACAUGAUAUUUUAGGCAAAAAGGCAUCACCUUUAGACCCCAAAUGAAAGAAUUUGAGAGAGAGCGCAUACGUGGUUUCCAAGAAGAGGAAGAGAGCAAUUCUAUUUCCUGUAAAAACGAAGAAACAGAGCAUUAACAAACACACAUGCACAAAUCUCAAAAGGAAAUUGGUAAGAAAUAAUCGUAAUUGAGAAAAUAAUUAGAAAACUAGAGAGGACACAAUUGGAGUCUAAUUCUACAGAACCCACGAGUCAAGACAAACAAAUAUCCAAAAUUAACAGAUUACAGUAACAACAUUCCAACAAAAGUAAGAAGACCAGAAAAAUUAUCUAUUCUAAAGUACAUUAGUUCCAUCAUGCAUAAAUCAAGGGAGUCACGGAAGGCCAGUAUCUUAAGGUAAUCCAACAUGUUAAAGCAUCCAAACAGAGACUCAGAAUUACAAAACGCAUGAAAAUUCACAUUCCAACGUGUUAUGCAAUCACCAAUUUCAGAUCAACCAAAACCAAAUAAAUUUAUAUCAGUACGCAUCAAACCCACCAAACCCAAAAUCAAAAGAAGGUGAUCAAAUGUUUGAUUUUGCUAAAUAUUACAAAAUAAAAUAAAUAAGAAUAUGUACAAAUCAACAUGCAUACCUUGUAGCGGUGCAGGGAACAGUAGCGUGAGCUGCAUCGAGGGCAUGUGUACUGGGAAAAUUGCUACUGGCAGCUGCAACUAACAAAAACAAAAACAAAACAAAAUUGAAUAAAAUCAAAAUUGGAAAAAUUUCCAGAAAAUAAAUAAAACAAAUUAUCAAGCUUUGUUGAUGAAAGAGAGGUGGGGUUGGUGAAGAACAUACAUGCGGCUAUGAGCAGUAGAUAAAAGAUUUCAAAAUGAUUUCUUCACUUUUCAAUCAGGACAUGCACGAAUAUAAAAAUGGCAGAGAGGAUUAAAACCAUACCAAACACUAGAAAAUCAAGUAUAAAAAUCGUACUUACCUUGUGAAUGAGGACAUGCAGACACAUGAUGGAUGAAGGACAGCAAAUCCCGCAUACACGAACCUAACUUGCCAUUGUUCGCCACCCCCACCCCUCCCUAUCUCUCUCUCCCUGCAAUCCCAACGAUUUCUCUCACUGUCAUCCUCCCACUCCCGAAUCGAAUAUCCGCACGAAAUCUCUCUCUCUCUCUCUCUCACUCGGUUUCUCUCACUGUCACCCUCCCACUCCCGAAUCAAAGAUCCGCACGAAAUCUCUCUCCCUCUACAAGCAGCAUGGCCGCUGUCCCUCUCUGUCUGCCCUCACCAUCAAUCCCAAUCCCAAAAUUAAGAUGACAAAAGUGCCCUGCAACCCUUUAAUUCUAGCCGCGUGAUCCUAACCCUAGAUGAAUAUUUCUGGAAUUUGAACACCCAAAGUAUCUCAUCAAAUGUGGAUGUACCUGUCAUAGUAUGAAUCUGAGAAUUUCUCAAUUCAACUCUCGAAUUUACUGUGACAGUAAUAAUAUAUCAUGUGGAAAGAGGUGGGAUUAUGGUAAAAGAUAGAACUUUAGCUGAUGGUAAACAACAUUUGGGAAUUUGAUGUAAGCCGGCUGGGAAUCCCAAAUGUUGUUUACCAUAAGUUAAAAUCUAAUCUCUGAUUAAAAAAAUAAUAAUAAAAAGCACACCUCAAACUGAUAAGGACCAUAAUUUUCAAGGGACACUGCUUUUCAAUGGUUACCAUAAAAAAAAAUAAUGAAAGAACUGAUCAUUUGAAUUAUUCAUGACAGAACCAAUUUUGAUUUGAAAUAUGAUGGCCAAGAACAAAUCACACUGCUUUUCAAUGGUUACCAUAAAUUUUCAGAAGUUACAGAAGAUUUUUUAUCAAUUGAAAAGACAAUGGUCACAUAUAUCUACAAUUAACCACCAGUAAGCGUGAAAUACUACAUCACAAUGCAAUAGCAGCUAUACAGGAUGUCAUGCCAUUCAUACUAUGACAAAUCACAAAAGUGACAAUUAAAGGGCACCUAACAGACACCCCCAUCUCUCUCUCUCUCUGCAAUAGCAGAAAUCCCUCGGGUUUCAGGAAGCAAAUGGAAAACAAAAUGCUUUUACAUCCCCUACCCAUACCCAUACCCCUCCCUUACCCAUUCCCUUUACCCUUGCAGAAAAUCCUCCCAUCUCUCUCUCACCCUUGUCCCAUCUCUCUGUCUGCAAAUCGCAGAAAAGAAACCCUGAACAAAUCACUGAAAUCCCUCGCCUAAAUCCUCCCACAUUUCUCUCAGACACCCUCUAUCUCUCUCUCUCUUUGCAAACCCUAAACCAAAUCUCCUAAAUUCUAUCUCGGACACCCCACAUACAGCCAAGAAGCCAAGAUAUUAAAGCAAUCUCUACAUAAUACUUUGGAACAAUGAAGCAAAAUGGUACUUACUUGUUCCUUGUCCAAAACCGUUGGUGCCGCCGCACAUUGUUAUUAAUUGUGGGUUGAUCAAAUCCUUCAUGGCUUAGACUGCAUGAAGAAUUAGAAACUAAAAGAUGAAUAUAUGCUGUAAAUCAUCAUAUAAAUGUAACUGCAUUUAAAAAAAGAAGGGAAUGAAAAAUUGAAUUCUAUUUCAUCAGUAUGUAACUGCAUGAAAAGUUACAUUGAAUGCAGACUCAAUCAAUUUCCCCAAAGUCAUUGUUAACUGAAAAUCAAUAUCAAACCCAUAAAUACCACCAUUGAAUUUGCGAAACCCAAAAACAAAAUACAAAAAUUUACUCAUAUAAUCACAGAAAAACAUGAAAUUUGAGCACAUAUUUGGCAAAGUUAAAGGAUAAAGGCACUCACAUCAUCGUAGUACUCUUCGGGAAGAACUUCUAAUAAUGGUUCUUCCUUUUUCUUGCUCUUCCUCAGAGCUGCCAUAAAAAAACCCAGAGAAGCACACAAAUUCAGAAAAGAAAAGGUCCAAAACAGCCAUAAAAAAUCCAGAAAGCAUACAAAUUUAUCAGAACAAAAACCAAAUGAUGUGAGAUAGUGAGAGGUUGUGUUAGGCACCCGUAACACGUUUUGGUUUCAAUUAAAACGGCCAGAGCGUUGCAUGCGAGGAAGAUGACGAUAGGAUUCCAAACACAACAUCCACAUUCUUUUUUCUUGGGUGAACUAACCAAAUCAUAUUAUAUACUAAAAUGACAUAAAAAAUCAUUCACAAAAUCACAACAAAAUAGAACAAAAACAUUCACAAAAGAAUUCCCCAAGUUUUCAAAUGGAAAUUAAACAUUUACAUAGCUUAUAUAAAAAGCCGAAAUAUAAAAAUUAAUCAAAAGGUUGAGAUAACUCACAUCCCAGUAAUGCUUAUUGCUGAUAUUAACACCCACUGACAGCAGCCCUCGGUUUGUGGAAUUCCCACGCCCAACUCCAUGACCUCUGUCUCUGCCAUCCCUCUUUCCCUCACAACCAUACCCACUUUCGACCCACCCCUCAAUCCCGACACCAACCCUUGAUUUAAGGAGGAAAAAUCAAUCCAACCACCCUUUUCGCAAGCCUCACUCCUCCCUCUCCCUUCCCCUCCCUGCCAAUCCCAUGCCCAUCUCCCUCGUUGUAGCUCAGCAACCCACGUUUUUUGGCACCAAACACUAUGUCCUAGGAUGAUGUGACAAUUUAUCAAAGUCAGAAAAUGCAUUAUCUCAGUUUAGGUUGGUAGCAUAUAUGAUCCCUGUGCAGCAACAUAGAAUACUUAGUAAAAGUUGCAUUUCUGAGAACAAAUAACCAAUGCUUGACCGAAAAAACAAUGCAGAUGCUUUAGUAUACAGAAUUACAGUUUUAUUCAAGCUUCUCAGUCACAAACUAACCUUCCUUUGUCGAGCAGCAAGGAGGAGGGGGAGAAAAUUGAUUCCUGGAGGAGCUUUUUCGUUCAAAACUAAGUCAAGCUGCAAGGACGAAGGGUCGAGGAUUGUUCGUGAGCUGGUGUUGCGGAUAUAAACAUAUAGAAAGCUCCACUGUGUCAUAACAAACACAAAUUGAAUAUGAUCACCAUGUCACAUUAAUUACCUAAAAUUCAAAAUGUUAUAUACAUUAGUAUGUUGAAAAAAUUAGUUACAUUUCAUUAAACUAAAAAAUUUACAGAAUAUGAGAAAUAAAGAAUUUGUAUUGUUUAUAUAAAAAUAGAAUAACAAAGAACAUCAUUGACUACCAUUUUAUUCGGUAGUUUCCUCCAACUGCAAUUGUUGAGAUUGUAGGAGAUCUUCGAAUAAAGCCUUCAAUUCAACCAUCCGUACACAAACAUAAUAGACAAUGUUUUUUAGCGAAUUAUGGACAAAGCUUAAUAUUCAAAUGCAAUGAAGUGGAAAACACAAUCCAAUAUAUGGAUAUGCAUGCUAUAGGAAACCAUUCAUUUGUAGAUGGUAUUGUGUCACCAAUAUUGUAUUUAAAAAUCUACCCAAGAUAAAGAUGCAAUAUAUAGUUUGGUAAAAAAUCAAAACGAAGAGUUAACAAAGGAAAAGGAUUAAGACGUUGAAAAUACAAAACUGGAUUCUUUUAUUUGGUAAAGACGGUUCCCCCACUGGCUGUCUGAAACCACAAACACUUUUUACAUAGAAACUUUAUAAACUAAUAGAUUAAAAUAAAUCUAAGUGUUAUAAAUGAAAAAUCCUGGGAUUGAUAGUAAUGGCAUCAACAGUGCCACCACAUCCCAAAUAAAUGAAUGAAAAUAUAGUGAUUAACAUCCAACAAAGAAGCUCAAGCUUGAAAUAAACCAAGGCAUAAAAGCUUACCAAACUUUUCAAAUGGCUAAAUUGUUCAUUUAACAUGAUAACUUCUUCCUGCAAUCCAUAAGUAAGACCAUUAGAUGCGGUAAACAAAACAUCAUACUUCAUAUAUGGCAAUCUAGCAGAGAAACCAAUUGCAUUCAGAUGGAGCCUAAUUUGUGGAACUACAUUUAUAUGCACUGAAAUGCAUUAUCAUGUUGUCAUAUUUAAAAACUGAGGUUUAUGCAGUAUGCUAUCUUUAGCAUACACAAAAUUUUUGCCCCUCAUUUUUGAAGUUCCGCACUUCAUAAUUUAUAUACUUUCAGUUUCCCUUCUAAUGAAGGUAUGGACUGCUUUCCAUUUGGAAUUUUCGUAAGACAAUGUUAUGAUAUUCCUAAUUUAGAAUGUGUUUCCACUCUAAUGAAUGCAAGCCCUAAAUCAUAAAUAUUGUACAAUUAUGUGUUUGAGCACGUGGCAGGGCAUGAGAAUCAGAACCACUCCGUGUUGUUCUCCGCUUCGUGAUUUGGUCAUCAAACAAUACUUCAUUCCCUCCAUCCUUUAUCACGUCUUCUUGGUGAUCAUUUGUCCAUCUCCAAACUGUAUCCACAAAAAACUACAAAUUAAUCCCAAAAACAAUCAUACAAAAAAAUUGCGGAUUAGAUUUGAUUACGUACCAUUUUCCCAGGAUGUAGAGCUCAGUGAUGAUGCCCUCCUCGCUUUGCACCUUAAACAUCGACAUUUUAAACCAGAAACCAAAAUCAAACAAACAUAAAGAAAUACGACUGACAGAAUCACACUGUAAGACACCACUCCCUCGCUUCCACGGUUCCAACCACAACACCAAAAACAACAAUAACAAUAAUAACAAUGUACACUCAGACAAAACAAAAAUGCACCACAGCCCUCCAGUGCUAUAACAGCACUUCUCUUCUAGGACAACUUUGAUAUCUAUGGACUGUUCCCUUCUCCAUGUUACAACGAUAGUAUUAGAGCUCUUACAACAUCACAGAUGCAUGACCAAGAGUGUAUUCGACAACCUUUUCUCUGAUCCUUUUCAUCAGUUGGUCCUAAAGAUUGUAUUCUUCUAAAUUCAUCUUCUUUUUGGGUAUCCAGAGACAUUUAUCACUUCAUAUGCCGAACACAAAACACCUAACAUUUUGGGUGACAAAUUAGAAGCAACUAAUCGGAAUAUGGGUACUGAGAAUUGAAUUACUCUUUGUUCUUAUAGUCCUAAUGGAAAUUACUCGUUGAUUCACAAAAUUAAUCAAACUAAAAUGCAAGAAAAGCAAAAUCAACAACCCAUACAGAAUUAUGAAAAGAUCCCAACAAACCAACCAAACAAUUAACAUUUAAAAAAAAAAAUUGCAAAGUUGGAGGGAAAGAAGCACGAGAAAAAAUAUACACAUCCAAUGCUUUUAAUCUAAAGCUAGAAGUAGGAAUAACUGAGUAAGUUAAUGAAGGCAAAGCAGAGGGUAGGAAGCAGAACAUACCAAGAGACCAAUAGGGCAUCCGGGCCGGUCUGCCGAUGAACGCCGUGUCCUGGUCGACAACGCCCAACGGCGUCGGCCCUGCAAAGAAGUAAAAGUCGAAAACACUCCCAAUGACCUUGUAGGUGAGAGAAGUCCCUCUGUAGAACACAUCCAUGCCAUUGCUGUUGAUCAGCAUAACAGAGUGCGCGUAAGCCUCGUUGCCCACAUUCUGGAGAUCCAUGUAAAACCGGGUGGGACCCGUACAAAUCAGUGUUGAGAUUGAUCGCCGAGACUUCAGUGGUGAAGAGGGUGUGUGGAUCGUUCGGGUAGAGCUUGAUCCCGUGCGGCUGAGUGUUCUCUCCGAGGCCGUACAGGGAGGCGUCUUUCGGCGGUCGGGUGGAUAUCUCGAGGUACUGGUCCUUAAACACCAGUUCGCCAUAUGGGUCUUUGGAGUAGGAGCUCAAAUGAAGAGGACCUGCCCGUUGGACUUCCUCUUGAAGGCGAACCCAAAUGGGUCGGAGAUGAAGCUGAGAAUGAGCUCAGAGCCGGAGUAGUCUGAGACUUCGAUGGGGUUCUUCGUCUUCGCCUGAAACACGUUUUGGUUUCAAUUGAAAAGGCCAGAGCCUUGCAUGCGAGGAAGAUGACGAUAGGAUUCCAGAGAUAGAGAAAGAAGGAGUAAGACGACGGAGGCGAGAGAAGGAAGACGGCGGCAAGAGGAGGAUAGGACGGAGGCGAGACCAUCUGUAUCGUAGGUCUGUGAGACGUACAAGGCAAGGAGGGUUUGAGAAGGAAACGGAAAAGGCCUGCUUUACCAUUGCUAUUCCCUUCCCGCGAUCAUCAAGGCGUGCGCAACAAGAUCAGCGGCAGAGAGAGUCUGUGGCAAAUUUGUAUAUAAAUUGAAAUUCAUCCCAAAACAUUGUUCAUUUGAAUAAUGCAAUUGGAAUCCCUUCUUUAGACAAAAGUAAUUUUUAAGUAGAAUGCCAACUUAGAUUUUGAGGAAAACUAAUGAAAAUGACUUGAAAACUUUGAGUUUUAAUGAUAAGGACAAAAUAAAUGGUAAAGUGAAUAGUAUCAUAAUUGACUUUUUAGUGUAAAAAUAUGAUUUUUCGUUAAAAUGAAUAUUACCGCGGGUUUUUCAUUAAAACUCCCUAGAUUUUAUGCAAACCAAAACCUUACCAUUAUUCAUACUUGCCAGAAGGCCUCAGAAGUCUCCACUAAAAUGCUUCCCUAAGCACAAGUACAUAAUAAUGCCACUGACAACUAGCUCGUCGAUCACCUCAGCGCUGCGGUUAAUGCUUUCGGCGCCACUUUUACAUUUCACUCUUAGUAAGAUGAGAUGAAGACGGGUUCUCAGAAGAUCCAAUUCCGGUAUCUCAAUUCAAUUGCGCAAUUGUUCCUCGUUGUAACUCGAUCUUGAGUAUUGUACAACCAUCAUAUUGCCAACAGCCUUUGAGUCCCGACUACAAGCAGAAGCAUUUACCAAGUUGUCACAAGGCCCGUCAAUACUGGCAGUGUCAUCAGCGGAGGAUGAGUGAUUAAUCGUGCUUCUGUUCUUGUUUUCAGUUUCCAUUCUAUCAUUUUCUGUAAUGACACCUAGAGUUUCAGCCGCUUCAACCACUUGCGAUUCAACAGAUGUCUUGCAAAUAACAGCGGGAUCAAUAUCAUGGCUGUGGUAAUCAUCAGGAUGAGUUACUUUGCAUUGCUCUACAAACUCCAUUGUUGAGGAAAGGAUAUUCAUGUCCUUGUCCAUCGUAUUUUCUUGGCUAUUUCUAUUUAAGAUGUCAUCCUCAAAUCCGGUUGGAUUAGUGCGAGCAUCAUCUGCAGGAGACAGGUCUUCAUCUAUCUGUUAAACAAUGACCUGUGUUUGCUUUCAGAGAAGACACUGCUAGACACAACCUCGUCAACAGAAUGCAACCCUAGUGGGGAAAUGCAGAUGAAAGAGGGAUCAACUUUUCAUCGCCAGUAAUUUCUUCUCCAUAACUCUCAUUACAUACGCCAUUUCCACGUGCUACCACAUUACUCGGUUAGGUAGCCACUACCUUUGGUUCUCUCAGCAGCUACAUCUCCAUUACCACAGUUAUUCGCAUUUGGAGAUAAUACUUCCUCAUUUAUUGGAUCCUCAUUUACUAAUCCUUGAUCUCGAUUGGCAAAAGAUGCCACAUUUAUAGUGGUAUCAUUGCUUUCCAAAUUAACUAGUCCACUUAAUUGCUUCUGUACAAAGACUGCUAAAGAAACAGCAUGAUCACGAAUCAAAGAAUCAUGAGACGGGUAGUGUAGCAUAUCGAUCAAGGCCUUAUGGUACUGUGUGGCAGAUAUUAAUAACUUUGAGUAUAUGUUCACACAGGUUGCCCAUUUCUGCCCAAUGGCAGUUGCAAAUACCAAACUCGUCAAUAACUUUUGCACGAGUACCUUCUAUGAUAAUAUUGCAGUUAAGAAUCUUCAAAGCUUUACGCCAAGAUGUUAAACCACUCGCCCACUCAUCUUUCCAAUAUUGUGCAAAAUCAUCAUUCUCAGAAUAUUCAUCAAGCCAGAAGAAGGAAUGCACUUUUGUACCCAGCUUAUUAACCAACCAAUCAACUCGUUUUUACACUCUAGGUUUAUUCUCGUUCAAUAACCUAAGCUUUAGUGGCUGUGCUAGAACUCCAUUGCCGCAGAGGUUUCCUAGCUAGCAAGAGGAAGAGUUUGUAGUGCAGAUACCCACAUCCCUGAGUCAAAAGACAUUUUUCUUGUGCGAGUUAUUCAAGAUAAAGCAAAAGAAAAUUAAGGACCCUGUUUAAAGAGAAGGGGGUGAAGGAAUUAAACGACACACUUGUUACUUCGUAUCAUAAGGCAAAAUAUACCUCUACUAAAGAUGAUAGUAACUUAGCUAAUUCUAGGAUACUAAGUUGCCUUAAAGUAAUCUAUAAAAUCUUAUUCAUCAAGAAAAUCUUCUAUGAAGUCCUCAGACAAACGCUCGGCUCCUCGUUGUUGACAGAUGUUAUCCACUGCUUGACGAAGCCUUCUUGACAUUGUAGCUCGCAUCUCAUUGUCCACACAUUUCUUUACUAAGUUUGUAUGCCAUGCAUGAGGAACCCGCCAAAAGCUUAUCAACACUGAACACUGAAAUACAUCCCUGAGUAUAAUGAAAUAAAACUGUCAGUAUCAAGUUUGGGCGAGGACUGAGCAACCAACAGGAUGGUGAGCACAUCAGCUAGAGGAUCAUCCACUAUGAAACUAGCCAACUUCCAAACAGGAUCUUUCGUUUCAAUUCUAUUGUGAAGAGCUCUCAUCCAUUUAUGGGCAUUGGAACUUCCAAACUUUGGAGCCACUAUCCACGCCACCGGGAUAGUAAUAAUGUUGCAUGUCACAUCCCGGCCCGGGACAGAUCACUUCCCGGGCCCACUCCACCACCAUAGCACGAUAUUGUCCGCUUUGGGCUUACCAUUCCCUCACGGUUUUGUUUUUGGGAACUCACGAGCAACUUCCCAGUGGGUCACUCAUCCUAGGAGUGCUCUGGCCUCCUUCUCGUUUAACUUCGGAGUUCCUAUGGAACCCGAAGCCAGUGAGUUCCCAAAAGGAGUGAGUUCUCAAAAGGCCUCGUGCUAGGUAGAGAUGGGAAUAUACAUUUAAGGAUCACUCCCCUGGGCGAUGUGGGAUGUCACAAUCCACCCCCCUUAGGGGCCCGACGUCCUCGUCGGCACACCACGGCCAGGGUUAGGCUCUGAUACCAAUUUGUCACAUCCCGGCCCGGGGCGGAUCACUUCCCGGGCCCGCUCCACCACCAUAGCACGAUAUUGUCCUCUUUGGGCUUACCAUUCCCUCACGGUUUUGUUUUUGGAAACUCACGAGCAACUUCCCAGUGGGUCUAUCCUAGGAGUGCUCUGGCCUCCUUCUCGCUUAACUUCGGAGUUCCUAUAGAACCCGAAGCCAGUGAGUUCCCAAAAGGCCUCGUGCUAGGGUAGAGAUGAGAAUAUACAUUUAAGGAUCACUCCCCUGGACGAUAUGGGAUGUCACAUUGCAACAUGAACAUAUUCGGUUUCUCAUUAUUAUUAACAAUUGUAGUUAAUAAUAAAAGGUUAAACAAACUAAACGGACCUUCAAUUUGGUUGUUCCGAACCUUGAAUCAGAAAGCUAUAAGGCUGUGAUUGCCGAAGCAAAUCAUCUGUUGCAACUGCCACUCUGUUUGAAUGCCCAAAGUGAAAGGGUCCACAUAAGAGAAAUCCUAAUAGAAGAAAACAUGACUCUGAUGGUUUUCUACCCACAUGCUAAUGCUAACCGCAUCAUCAGCAUCCAAUUCAUAUAUAGAGCAUCGAAUGACCCUCUCCUGCCUCGAACAUACCUAUAGGUUAAAAGGUCAUCACGGUUAGAUGGACCACCCUGUUUCUCUACAGAUUCAUCGUGUCUCUGCAUUAUAGUCUCCACAGAGACCCCCGCAUAUAACAAAGAUUGUACACGAAGAAGCAGAUCCUCAGAGAUACAAGGGGCAAAUAUAGCACGUGUUCCAGCAGCCAUCUUAUCUUGUGGACCAUGGCAUGGCACUCAUUUCCUAUCUACAUGCUUAUCCUGAUUAUAUAUGAUACGCGCCACUAAAGAAUACCUAGAAUACCAUCAACCUUUGGUUUGUUAGGCGUCUAUGGCUGCCGCCGUCGCCUCGCUUCAACAUGAAAUCUUGUUGGACAUUCUUUAUUAGAGCAUUCACCCCUCAGAAAAUCGUCAACUCUAGGAAACGGAAUUAGAGCAACUCCAUCUUUCUUGUCCCGCCAACCUUCCACCUUUGACCACACAAGAUCAGAAGAAGAAAACUCCAGUGCAGGUGGACUCUGCACAGGAAGGGACAUAAUCUCAUCCCAUCUAGCCAUCUACAACAAAUAAAACGGAAAUGACAAAUUUAAUACAAUAGUCAUUUUAACAGAAGAAUCAAGACCAAAAUCCCAAUAGUCACACUCACACCUAACCCUUAACUAUUAGUUGAAUAAAAGGUUUUUCUAAUCGAAAAAAUGAACAAAAAUGGCGGAUUUUGCAACUGGCUUCGUAAAAUCACACGUUAAUAACAGUAAUAGAGGUCCUUUUUACUCUAAGCAGUACAAAAGAAAGUCAAAAACUUCAUAUCUGAUAACAAGAAAACAAACAAACAAACAAAAAAGAAGAAACAAUUUAAUUCAUGCAAUACAUUUCAUUCCCAACAAGAGAAGUUCAAAACUUUAGCAAACAAUUAAACUGAUUUCGUCUCUGUUUUCAUAAAUUCUCAGAAAUUAACAGUCGAAAAACACAAAUUAAAGGAAAAAAAAAGUGAAAUUCUUUGGGUUGUCAAAUAGAGAAAUUAUAUUCACACACCCAAAAUUUCUUCCACACAUUUUUAAUUUUUAUUUUAUUUUCUACACACUACUAACACUUGAUAGAAAAAGAUUAAAAAAUUAAAGGAUGUGAGGGAAGUAAUUUAGGAUGUGUGAAUAUAAUCUCCCUUUUAGAUAAGUGAAGUCGUUAGCUUCAGAGUCACACAUUGAGCUAUAUCGAUAUGUAUAGUAUCACGCCCUUUAUGCAAAAAGAUCCCCAUUUUUUCAAAAAAAUGGGGAUUAGGUGUAGGUCCACUCCACAACGAACUUUAAUGAUCUGAAUCGUUUAUUUUGUAAGGAACCAAAUCCCCUGCGGAUCCCUAAAAACUGAGCCUUCUGAGCAAAGAAUUAGGACAAUUGAAAUUUGAUCAAACGGUUACAAACAGGGCCCCUCUAAAAGUUAUAAUAAUUGUAGUCAUUGGAUUAAAUUUCAACGGCCCAAAUUCAUUGCUCAGGGGGCUCAGUUUUUGGGGAUCCAAUUCCAAUUUGUAAGUCUCAUUUCAUAGAUUAUUCUUACAAGAAUUCAAUUCAAUCCAAAAUCAUUUAUCUAUUUUGUAAGUCUCAUUCCAUAAAUGUCAUUAUAUCAUCAUUUCACGUGCUACCACAUUAUUCGGUUCAGCAGCCACUUUACCCUUGGUUCUCUCAGCAGUUACAUCUCCAUUCCCACAAUUACUCAUUUGAAGAUAAUACUUCCUCAUUCAUUGGAUCCUCAUUUCCUAAUUCUUGAUCUCGAUUGGUAAAAGACGCACAUCCAUUGUGGUAUCAUUACUUUCCAAAUUAGCUAGUCCACUUAAGGGUGCGUUUGUUGCACUGGAAUGUCUCGGAUUGGACUAGCUUUAGGAACUAAGCUGGAUUGUCUUAGAUUAGCUUAAUGAAGCAUUUGAUGCAGUAUCGGACUAAAAAGUAGGAUAAAAAUUAAUUUUCCUUUUUUUUUUAUCCAAAAACAAAGAACUCUAUCUGUCUCUCCAUUUUCUUUGGUCAAACUAUCUCUCCUCCUUUUUCUCCAUCUCUUCCAUUUUCCUUUCCCGUCCAAUUCCUUUUUCCUUUUCUUCUCGAUCACAAAUAUACACAGUUCACAUGCAAACCAAUUUUCCAUCAGACCAAACAACACCCAUCACCUGCCUUAUCAAUCCAACAAAAUUCCCAAACUUUCCCACCCUAAAAUUUGACAAUUCCAUUCAAAUUAAACAAAAGUUAGAGCUGGAAAACUGAGGAAAGAAAAAGAGAGAGAGAGAGAGAGUAAACGGAUCACCAAUAGUAGGAGGCGGCAACGCCAUAUAGUUUGAGGACGAGCAGUAGCGUAAAGGAGAAGAGGAGGCUAUGGGCCGCCAAGGCCUGCACGAACUUCAACAUUCUCCGCUAGUUCAUCAUCAUCGUAAAACAAUGUCGUCCGCUGCAAAAGUCGAGACUUUAGAUUGUGAGAAAUCUUAGGAGGAGGUUGAUGUUUCAGUAUACGCCAUUGAAACGAAAGAGGCAAGAAAUAUUCUUUCUCUCCUUCUUCUUUUUCAUCGUUCGGGUUGACCUAGAUGGCAAAAAAUCCCAAAUCACCAACCCAGAUGCCAAAAUGGCGCUGGGUUUGCAGGACGAUGGAGAUCAGAGACAACCGUUUCUGGAGAAGGGGGGUUAAUGCUACUCAUGUGGGUUCGUAGGACGCUGCUCGCAUACCAGGGAGACGGGACUAGCAAUCCCGUUGUUUUUGGGGGGCCUCGCUAAGACCUCCUAGUGAGGGAUUUAGUCGAGGCGAGUCCUCCUUUGUCCCAUUUACCUUUAGUCCCGCCAGUGAACAAACAUGGAUUGCACUAACUUUUAACUUAAGCGUCGAGUGAGAACUAAAGAAGGCAAACAAACACCCCCUUAAUUGCUUCUGUACAGAGACUGCUAGAGAAACAGCAUGAUCAAUUGAUUUUGACGGAGUUCUUCAGCUUAAUUUAUUAGUUUUGGAUUACAUUGCUCUUGUUUAAACUUUCAAGUAAUCUUUUUCCAUAUGAUUACUUCUAUUUAAGGGCUCAUGGCUUGGGAAUUGUUAUGCUAUUAUCACCUAAAUGCUCAUGUAAAUUGAAUUCGAUCAAAUUUUUACUAGAGUAGUCGAAUUUCUAUUAGAGUUGUUCUUAGUCAUGUUUGAAUUGCCAUGUUUAUCUUAUAUUUUCUUGAUGCAAACCUGGUCAUUUUUUUAUCUAUGCAUCCAGAGCAACAAUCAUGUGAUUUCUUGACAAUGAAUUGGACUUGUUUUUUUUUUUUUUUUUUUUUUGCACUUUAGUUGUUUAUAGUAACAAAUUCACUUGAUCAAUUGAUAUGUUCUUUCUGUAUAUAUAAAAAAUAUGUGCUAAAAUUCUUAAGUGUGUAUCAAUACACACACACACACACACACACACACACACACACACACACACACACACACAUAUAUAUAUAUAUAUAUAUAUAUAAUUGUAUACACAGAUGGUUAAGAAGGAAAGUAAUGGGGCAAGUGGAUCACAACUGCCAGCUGUAUGGAAUGCUCACAAUACAUCACUAUUUUGUGACGUGUGUAUCAAGGAAGUGGAGGCAGGAAAUCGUCCUGGUACCCACUUUAAAAAAGAGGGAUGGGAAAAUGUGAGUAUUAACCUAAAUAAAGAGACUGGAGAUGAGUAUAGUAAACAACAGCUAAAAAAUAAGUGGGAUGCACUUAAAGAGCAAUGGAAAUUAUGGAAAGAACUAAAGGGAAAAGAAACUGGUCUAGGAUGGAAUCCCAAGCUCAACACCGUUGAUGCUUCGGAUGAGUGGUGGCAUAAUAAAAUUCAGGUUUGUAAGCUUCUUGUUAGUUUCUGGAUGUUGUUUGUCUAUUAUUGAGCUUGAAUGCAUUUUAAUACUUGUUUCUUUAAAUUGCAGAUCAACAAAAAAUAUAAAAGUCUGCGUAGAAAAGGAAUUAGCCCUGAUAUGGAAGAUAAGCUAGAUAGGAUGUUCAUGAAUACCACUACUGGUGAUCAUGCUUGGGCACCCUCGUCUGGUGUACUUCCAUGUGAAAAUAAUGAUGAAUCUGAUGAGGAUGAUGGCAUUCAAAUUGACAGUAGUGAUUUUGAUGAUGUUAUCCCACUCAAAAAUACUCAAGCCGAUGAGAAGUAUUUGGGGAAGAAGAAAAAAAGAACUCAACAAUUUGAUACACAAGUUAAGAAAGAGAAUAAGGAUAAAGGAGUUGUUGCAAAGAAGGGGAAAUUGGGAGGUGCUGCUAAGUUGUCAGAACAGAUUGAUCGUAUGGUUAGUGCAAUUGAGAGUAGAAAUACAACAACUUCAAACAUGGCCAAGGGCUUACAAAAUAGUAGCAUUGCUGAAGUGAUGAAGAUAGUUUCAUCUUUACCUGGUGCAGGGCCUGGGAGCCCUUUGUGGUUAUUUGCAACUCGAUUAUUUCUAAAACAAGAGAAGAGAGAAAUGUUCUUAACUAUAGAAGAUCUGGACAUCAAGUUUCAAUGGCUUAACUAUGAGCAAGCUGAAAAUUAAGUGCCAUGUGAUGCAUUUAGUUUGCAAAGUUUUAUAUUUCGUGGUAGACAGUAUAGUCUAAGAUAUCUUUAAACUUGAGUUUAUUAUUUUGAUUUGUCAUUUGGGAUGGUUACUUGGAUUUCUUUGUGUUUUACUUGGGAUUAUAAUUGGAUGGUUUUGGAUUCUUUAUUUAAGAAUAAUUUUUUUUCAUGCAUGUACUCCUAUUUGUAGGAAUAAUGAUGAGAUUUUUAUUUUUUUUUCAAAAUUGCAGAUCUCUUUCAAGAUAUGGACAUCUUGCAAGAUGAGGAAGAGUUCAACCAAACUGUAUGCCUUUGUGUUCGUACUAUAGAACAUUAUUAUCAAACAUAUAUCCACAAAACACCUUGUAUGGAUUCAUCUCAAACAGGAUAUAAGUGGUUAAUGGAAAUAUUACGGGGAAAGAGGCGUUGUCAUAGGAUGUUCAGAAUGGAUAAAGAGGUAUUUAUGAGAUUGUGUAGUGACCUGCAAAACAAGUAUGGAUUGAGGGGUUCAAGGAGAAUGUGUCCUGGUGAAAUGUUAAGAAUGUUUUUGUUUAUUCUAGGACAAGGUGAAGGGAAUAGGUCAGCACAAGAACGAUUUCAACACUCCGGCGAGACUGUGAGCAGAUACUUUAGUCAGUUACUUGAUAUUGUAUGCCUUAUGGCUGUUGAUGUUAUCAAACCACUGGAUCCUAUGUUUAAUGGUGUCUCUGCAGAGAUAUUAAGCGACUCUAGAUAUAUGCCCCACUUUAAGGUAAAAAAAAAACUAGAUAUGAUACUUCUUGCUUUGUCUUAUGAAUUAAGUUAUAUUUAUUGAAAAUUGUGUUAUAAUAUUAUUUGCAGAACUGUAUUGGUGCUAUUGAUGGUGUACAUGUUCAAGCCACAAUACCUCCCGGAGAUCAAAUACCAUAUAUUGGCAGGAAAGGGACACCAACUCAAAAUGUAAUGGCCGUAUGUAAUUUUGACAUGCAAUUCAUCUUUGCAUGUGCAGGUUGGGAAGGAACUGCACAUGAUACAAGGAUAUUUUUAUCUGUUUUACGAAACGGUGCUUUAAAUUUUCCUAAGCCUCCUAAUGGUAAUGUCUCAAACUUGUGCAUAUGUUUGAAAUUUUGCAUUUGAUUAGACACUUUUUAUAGUUUCUUUUUAUAUCAUAGUAGCAUGUUUUGAACAUUACAGGAAAAUAUUAUCUUGUGAAUGCUGGGUACCCACAGAUGAGCGGCUAUUUAGGACCCUAUAAAGGUGAAAGGUAUCAUCUUCCUGAUUUUCGUAGGGGCAGAGAACCAACAGGAUCUAGAGAGGUAUUUAACCACAUACACUCUUCUCUUAGGAGUGUCAUUGAACGCACUUUUGGUGUAUGGAAAAAGAGGUGGAGCAUUUUAAGAGACAUGCCUAGUUACUCAUUUAAGAAGCAAGUAAAGAUAAUAAUCGCAACUAUGACGCUUCACAAUUAUAUAAGAAGGUAUGCCCGACGUGAUAAUCAUUUUGACAACAUGAAGGAUGACUUGGAUGAUGACACAAACUCGGAUGAAGAACAAGAAGAAUAUCAUAUUACCGAAGGACCCGAAGCACAAGAAAUAGAGACAUUGAGGAACAACAUUGCUGCAAGUUUGAUGUGUUCGUAAUUUUUUUUAUGUAUGCUUAUUUUAUUUUAUUAUUGUUUGAAGACAUUGAAGAAAAUUUUAUUUAUUUAAUAUUUGUUGUUUUUUUUUAACUUUUGGCAAUGCAACUACAAAUGUCAAAAUAAUUUGAGGGAAAAAAGAUUAGAUAUACUUGUGAGUCAUCUUUUUAACCAAAAAGUUAAUAGAAAACUAUUUUUCUCAUUACUUUAGUCUAAACUAGAAAAUGUGCCCGCGCGAUGCUGCGGGACUUAAAUGCAUCACCUUUAACUACAUGAAUAAGAUACAUUUCACCUAAAUAAAUUCAACACAAUCAUGAAUGAAGAGAGGAAUAGAUGAGUAAAUGGGGUCGGUAAGAUAUGCAACUUCGUUUUUAUAUACAUUGAACUGAACUCACAUGAAAAGACAUUGUACAAUGAACAGGACGAAACUGAAUGUUUUGGUUCCCUAAACUGAAACCCCUUGUCUCAGACACCCAACACCUCUCACCCUCAGAUAGCCCUAAACGAAGUGCCUCGUAGCAUCGAAUUGGCCUACAACACCCCCGAGCGAGAUUGAGACUACUUUUCAUAUUUUCAUUUUAAUGUACCAGCAAGGAAACGAUAGUAUAUUCCAAAAUUAGCAGUUUACAGAGAAAUAUAAAUAUUGUUUUCAAGAAAUUAAUAUGAUUGCAAAUGUAAUAGCUCCAUGCAUAGUGAGGUAGGAUAAAUGAUGGAAGACACACUGAAAUUUGAGGUCCAUAGGUUGAGAAGAGUCCAUAGCAUUGAUCCAGAUAUGGAUAGCUUGCACAGAUCUACAAUUCAAGCUCCGAAUAAAGUAUCAAUUUAUCAGCAAUUGUGACAUUCAUUAUUCCUAAAAAAGUUAUUGAUUCACAAAUAAACAAAUGAAAGUAAUCAGAAAAGAAACGCUUACCACAUGCUAGCUGAAUCCGAACUCAAAAUGACCACGAUAUUUUCCCAGCAAUGAUCACAAAGAGAUUGAUGCUUGGGACUUCUGUCCAUCCCUGAAAACAAUGGAAUAAUAUACCCAUUAAAAAACGUCACAAAAAGAUUUACAGUAACUGUCCCAACUAUUAUAAUUAUAUGGUCUUAUUGGCAUAUUCAGACUACAAAAUAAAAGCUGGCAGUUGUUUGCACUCGUAAACAAUUUCUCUUUACAAAACUAAAUAAAUUGUAAUGACCCAAGAAAUCAAAAUUUGAUUAGGCAUUAGAAACAAUGUUACCUUUUGGAGAAAAGGAUGCUCAACCAAAUGGAAGCCCAAAUUUAAAACAGCAACUGAAUGAAAAUCUGACGUUAUAAAAUCCAUAAGAAGCGUGUAAUGCGUCUAAUUUAAAAAGUCUCUCACACAUGUAAUUGCACGUAGGACGCCAGAUUCAAAAAAAAAAAAAAAACCUUGAAACCAAAGGACUGCAAAGGAUUGCUUUGUCAUAGAAAGUAAAAGAAUAAAUUGAAUCAACUGAACAUGCUUCUUGCAAACAAAGAAAGUAAAAUACGGGGGAACAAAAUCACAAAUCAACAUAGGCAUCUCUUAAGAAUUUAAAUAACCAAGAUUUUGAUGAACUGAUUGUAAGCAUAUGUGCAUAGAUGUCACUAUUUACAUAAAACAUGUAAAGGACAAUCAGUUUUGAGUUUCAAAAUAUAAAAUAUUAAAAUUUCCAUAAAAGAUAAGUAUUGGGAAACAAAGUUGGCAUCUCACCUUCCACAAUAGGUCGACAAAUCCUUUGAUUACGCUUUAGCUUCUUGUUUAACUGAAACACAAAUUCAUUGUUCAGAAUAUCAUAAUUUCAUGAAAUGGUUCACCUUUGAUUACGCUUGCUGCUUAGUGACUUGAUAAGUCGGUCACAAAGAUAACAUGUAGAAUGCAAAUAUGGAUCAGGAAAAAACAACAGCUAUAGAAUUGAUUAUAUAGAAGAAGAAUACAUACUUAUUGUGAGGUUAUCCCAGCUAUCCACUAUGACCCAAUAUAUAUAGCAAGUAAAAACUAUGGCAGCAAAGAUCUCACGUAUAUAAAUCUUGCAUAAACUUUGUUUUUGUACAAUGUCUUCUCCCUUCAAUGACAGUUUGUUUCUUAUUCAGGAAAAUAAAAUGAGCAGGUUAAUGAUACUCACAUGUGCAAAAUGCUAAUCCUAUGGUCUAAAGUUAACUGAAUUUUUUAGUGUAAAAUACCUAAUUUCACUGCAUUUCAAUUGAUCACAGUUCGUGCCUUGUUAAACUUGAUAUACCCUUAGACAUUUUGGGAACUUGACAGCUUAAAUUUUCUUUAGUUACAGAUGUGCUCAUAAAAGCAAAUUACAGCGACCCAAUAUAUACUAAAAACUUGGAGAAGGGACUCAAUUAGUUAACGAACAGGUGCCUCGCCUUUCAUGUUAAGACCAAAGAGAGAAAACCAAGCCGAACUCUUCAAAAUUCAUUGGCACACAUGCAUCAUCAGCUCAAUUGAAUGGAUAAUGCAUACUUAGAUACAACCAUUCAAACAAUUGAUGUAGAUUGACAUAAGCCUCCAAACUUCAAAAAAAUUGAAACCUUAUAAAAGCAAAACCUUUUUUCCUUCAUAUUUGAACUGUUUCGAUUACCUUAUCUCUCUAUCACUUGAUUCAUUAUUUCUAAAGGAAGUUCUAAUCACUACCAAAACAGCUUAAUAACAGUUGAUUAUCUAAAAAAAAAAAGAGGGAAAACAUGAAAUACUAACUGCACUCAAAAUCCCAAAUGUGUAACACAUGAUUCUAAUCUAAACCCUGAUUCUAAAAUUUAGAAUUCGACACAAAAAUGAAAAUUGGAAUGAUUAACAUGGAAAUGAGAGAGGGAGAAGUGUGAGGGAAUCUACACAUGAGGGCUUCGGAUCUGAGUCCAGAGCUGGAAGCGGCAGAGGUUGCGAACUUAAGAGUAUGGAAGAGGCGGGAAGGAUCCUUGUAAAAACAAUAAAAAUUAAAUAAGAAACUCGCCGGAAACUCGGAAAACCUCGUCGAAAAAACUGGACAGCAACUUACCUCGGAUUCACCUUUAACUCGUAACAAAUCUUUUCACAUUAUUCUCUAUUGCCACUUGUACUUCACUCAGUACUAAUCGAUAUAGCUGAAAGUCUGAAUCAUGAAGAAUGAGAAGUUGAAGUAUAUCAAAUGAUAAAGUUGUCAACAAUGAAGAAUGGGACAUUGACCAUGGAGACACUGCAAGAAGCAAAAGUGAGCAAAUUAAAUAAAUACCAGCAUCAACAUUUAGAAAAAAGUAAGAGCAGCAACUAUAAAUGAAGAAUGUGCAAUCAACAUUAAAAGUGUAUAAUAGGAACACGGAUCUCAUAACUAAAAGACAUUUUCUCACCAAACAAUGGAAAAUAAUUGGAGAUGCAAUUCAAUAAAAAAAGAAGUUAGCACUUGCUUAUUGCCUUCCAAAGAAGCUAAUGAAUCCAUCUGGUUGAAGAAGUGUUUAGCAUUGCCAGUAAAAACAACAAAAAUCACAUCAAAUUUCAAAUUAAUCAACUCAAUAGCAUGCGUACCUUAACAUCUAGAUGACGAAACAUUGGUUCCUCGAACGAAUCGUAAAGAUCACAAACACAAAUCAUGAAUUAGAGUUCGAAUACGCAUCUCCCGAUUUGAAACCCUAACGUAAUUCCCCACUUGGAAGAUGCAACCUUUGGGGUUCUGGCUGCUAGGGUUGAGAUGUUAAACCUUUGACUAAGAAAAUGACAUUGGGCAGCAUAGGAUACAUACUGCUCCCCCAGAUAGACCUGCAUGAAGAUUUAUCCACCAUCACAUGCGAAAAGGAAGAUGGUCAGUAUAUGUGUUUUAGUAAUCAAUCUAUAUUUGAAGCAAUGAAAAAAAAGCAUAUGACAUGAGCUAUCAUAAAUUAAAAUUAUCAACAAUCUCUUCCCAUUACGAAACAUAGAGAAACUACAAACCAUAACAAAUACAUUGAAAUACGCAAAUAUGCAGCAAAUCCCUCAAGCAAUUAAGAAAAAAAAUGCCUCUUAAAUCAGCAACCAAAUUCAAAUUAACAAAUGUCUCCAUAAAAGAAGUAAAAUGGAUGAAAAGAUACCUGGCUUUUUCAAAACAAUUCAAAUUCCACAACAUUUCAUUCAAAACAGUUCAAAAUUCAUAACCCCUCAAGCAAUUGGGGCUGUAAGUUACGUAAUCGGAUGGCUACAACCAAACGAAGAGCUUCAAUCAAUUAAAGUCAACAAAAUAUCAAUAAUUAAUCUAAAAAAAAAAAUUAAAUAAAUGAACACCAGGGGACUGAGGAAUGCUACUAAACAUCAGUAAGAACAGAAACGAAUAAUUUAAAUGCUUGAGCUUCAAUGAAAGCAUUUUACCCUUGCAAUUUUCCAAGAUAGCGGAGAGGCAAGAUGCACAUGUAUUAGUGAGAGGAUUUUCAAAGAUAUUGAGCACUUCCAAUCGAGCAGAUAGCAAAGGGCAUUCGCAAAUCUGAAGAUUGAAAUUAUUGAUCGAGACAGCCAAAUGAAUAGAGAUAUAAUCAUACAAUCCCCAAAAUCCAAAUCCAAAUCUGAAACGCCUGAUCCGUUUCUGGAAAAUGGCAGAGAAAAAUAGAAGAACUACGUUUUUAGAUGACCGGAUUGAAUUUGAGGCAGAGAGAGGGGGAGAGAAAGAGGGAGGAAGAGAAGCAGAAAAGCGAUAGAACAAAAUGGAAGACGCUUGAAGGGUCUUCCUUACCAACGACGUGAAAUCCAAUUGCCAUUUCAAGCUCCCUCAAUCACGACCUGUAGGAAAAUAUCAAACCCAAACAUAAGUUCACUGAAAUUCGAAUUCAAUAUAAUCAAACACAAACAAAAUAGCAAAAUUAAAAUAAAUAAAAAACUAAACUAAACUAUAAAUUAAAACUUUCAAUUGAAUAACCCCACAAUUUAAAUUACUAAACAGUAACAGAUUUCUCUGAGUAAUCAACUUCUCGAUUAUGGUCAUCGAACACGACAUUCUCCAAAACUGCCAAACACAUGCAACCAUAUUUGAUAAGAAUUUGAAAUAUCACUCCAAUCAUGACACAGAACAUAAACAUUUUGCGCACUGUCAUUUUUAAAGUAGAACGUUCAAUUAAAUCAUGAUGUUAAGUACCAGUCCCAAAUUUGAUAGCAUUCCAAAUAUCUGGUUCCUUGUCCAUUGACAAAUCAAUGCACUUGGCAUAGCAACCACCUUCAAUGUUUGACACACCAUUGUUGCCCCAGCAGUGCUCAUCAUCUCCAAUUAGAUACCGAUUAUGAUCCGUAGACAGAGUCGUCUUCCCAGUGCCUGCAACAAACAUCCCAGGAUCAGUUACACGAACACAAAAGAAACUGAAACACAAAAGAUUGAUGUAUCCAUCACCAAUUGAUCAUUGUACACAUAAAAUUAUCAUGAUUCAUACCUCUGCGUCGAUAUGGAAUUUUAUAAACUGGACAAAUGGAACCCAAUUUCAUCGACUUCACGGUGCAAGUGCUGUAAAAAAAUAAGCAAACACUGGCAAUAUGAUCAAGCACAUUCCAAGUAUUAAUACAUCCAAAUAAAACCUAACAUUCAUAUGCAAAUAACAAUGAAGGUAGAGAUUACUUGUAAGAGAUGAUUGCAAUUGAGUGAAUCCGCAGAACUCAGUAGACUCAAACUGCAAAACAGAUGGGGAAAAAUCAAACCCAUUAACAGAGUGAAGAAAUUUUUUAAAUCUUUAAACGAAUUCUGGACAGAAUCAUGUAAAGGGUCUGUUUUGGCUACCGAGAAACUUAGUAUACAUUUAAAUAUUAUUACAUGUUAAUACAAAAAUUUAGCUUUAUUCAGAUGGGAGAGAUCAAAGGUUGCAUCAUUCAGCUUCACACAUGGCUACAACACAAUUUCAAAAACUCUUGUCAUCUCAAAGUCACAUUCUUUAUCAAACUCCCACUCCAUAAUCGAACAGAGGUUGAUAACGGACAAAAAGAAACACAAAGUACGAAAUAUAAUCAAUAUCAUCAGUCAAAACUUACUGCAAAGGGUGAGGGGUCAACCAUGUGAUUUUUUGCCCCUUAACCUCGGCCUGCAUGGACAAACAACGGAAGAAUUCAUACCCAAAUAACACAAUAACAUAAAAUGGCAGGAAUGUAAAUAAUACAAAAUCGAGGGUCCAACACACGUUGAUAUGUCAUCGUGGUUUCCAAUUGAACCAUGAAUUCCAGAAUGUAAAUCAUACCUUGAGUAUAAGAAAACCAGAAAAGGAAAAUUAAAUCCCUCACAAAUGGUGGAAGAAAAUAUGAGAAACCUAUAUUAGUCCCAACGGUGUGAGUUUUCAUCAAAGAAGUAGACAAUCCACACGCUAAAUCACCAAUCAAACAUGAAGAUGAUCACAAAGAAGAAAUCCCUAAAACCAAUAUUUUAUUAGAGUUGAAAAUCGAAAUUAAGCCAAAACGGAACCGACACUACCCAAAUUAAGCUAAAAAUUCACUAACCCAACAUAAAGGCAAAGAAAAAUCACCUCUAGAUGACUGCCAUUGAUUCAAUGCAAAGAGAGCUCAAGCUGCUUAAUAUUGUUCUGAAAUUAGAGAGAGGGUGUGAGAGAUCAUGAGAGGACGGAGGGGCGAAUGGCGGAGUGAGAUUCAGCGCGUCUCUUCUCUGCAUAUAAAAGAUGCCGCACAAUUAUGCAACUUACUCCAUAGACUUAUAAACAUCACAAUUAUAAAUUCUGAAACUGAUAUAAAUUGAAUAGAAAUACACAAAGCAUAAACAAAUUCAGCAUAUGAACACCAAAACUUACCAAACUCAUGUGCUUGCUUGAAGCUGUUUUUGAUCAUUUUUCUACAAUCUACUGCAUAAAAAGGACCAAACUAUAACGGCAAACUAUAUAUAUAAUUUGCUAUAAUACCCAAAAAAAUUAAAUUACAUUAACAUUUGAGUGGAAGCCACGACCAAAGUGGUAAAAUUGAAGAAAACAUCAAAAUCCCAGAAAAAAAAACAAAUUCUUUCAGAAAAAAUCAAAGAAAUUUACUCAGGUAAUCAAUCAAUUAUGUACCUAAUUCCCCUGAUGUCUUGAAUAAAUAUAACACUCCAAGAUAAAUUAACUACCCAAUAUUAAUUUUUCCUGUUUCUUUCUUCUUAUUCUCGGGAAAGAAACAAACCCAAAACAAAUAAUUGAAGAAAACAUACAGAAAAUAUUGGGGAGGAGUAACAUACAAUCUGCUGAGUUCUUAUUCGCUUUGUAGAUAAGAGAUGGUGGCUUCUCAUCGAGUUCAUGUAUGUAUUGCCUGGAGUGAGAUGGUGAGCGGGCGUGAGAGAAUAGGGCAGUGAGAGAGAGUCGGGAGAGAAAAAGAGGGAAAGAAAUGGCGAUGGAAACGGACGGAAACGUAGUCGAAGCAGAGCAAUCCACGAUGAUUAACGCGUGGGCGCUCUUAAACUGUGCAAAAGCAGUGGUAAUUUUGUAAAUAAAUCGAAAUUUUCAAUUUGCGGUGAAGAGAUGAUGGUAAUUUUGUAAAUAACUCAAAAUCCACUCCAAGUUACUAUUCAUUUGAAUAGUGCAAUUGAAAAGCUUUCUUUAGACAAAAGCUAGAAAAAAUGCCCGCGCUUCGCUGCGGGUUUUGAAACUAUUAGCCAUAAUAGACGUGAAUAAUUGGCACGAAAAGAUGCAUUACAAAGGCGACACAAAUGGAGUCAUGUCCUAAAAUGAACCAGUGCAGAUGAAUAAUUUGCAAAAUCACAUUCAGUUUCAUUUCUAUAGGUCAAAAAACAAAGAAAACAUGUAUAUUAACUUGUCAUAUUUUAUAAAACUAAAAGCAUGGACAAUUCAGUGCACCUUGGUUGCACAUUUGUCAUAUCCAGCAGCUCACAUCGGCCACCCCCCACUGGAAUCCAAGGCUGAGGGAAGCCAUCUGCGGGAGUUGUCAUCUGAAGCACCACUCUUAUCUUUGCCUUUGUCUGAUUUGAUAUGUUGCUUACUAUUGCAUGGAUGCCAAGUAGCUUCAACAGCCUUCGAUGUACACAUAUCUGAAAUGCGGUCUUGUCCUACUGUUAGAAGCAAAGAUAGGAGCCCUAAUAGCAUAUUCUCAAGAGCUUCAUAGAGAGCUCUUUUGUUUCUCUUUGUCAACCACUGCAAGGAUUGCAAUUCAAAUUUAAUCAAAAUAAUUCAUUUCACAUUCAUAAUAAACCCGAAAGUGACUUGAUAAGAUGAAAUUAACCCAAUUACGUGUGAAAGGAAACCUUUCCAAUUAAAUGAAUGAAAUAUUUGAUGUGGAUCAAAACCAAAACCAAAUGAAAACAAAUAUCGACAACUGCCCAAGUUGGUGUUUGCCCCAAAGGUCUUCCUCCUCCUCCUCCUGCCAUCCUUUAAUUGAAACCCUAAUUUUCCUUACUACUAAAUAAUGCUAUUUUCGAUCUAUUUCUUUCGGUGUGUAAACUUUACUAAUUCUCGAUAAUUUUCAAUCACUUCCACUGUAAUUAAAAUAAGUACUGAGUAUAUACACACUCAUAAAAACACAAAUUCAGUUUUCCAUUCUAAAAAAUGAACGAAAGCACAUACUCCAAGUCAAUGUUCCUACUAUAUUCAUUAAUCCAACGAUGCAUCAAAUAUAAAAAUUAAAUUAUACCUCUAAUUUAUAACCUUUUGAUCUUGCUUCAUCUGCAGCUAAACCAAAAUUUGGACAAUCCCCAAUAUAAUUCCGUCAAAAUCCACAUAGCAACACCAUGUAAGAAUCAUAUUGGGUGUCUACACCCACACUUAUCAAUGUACACAUAAAUUUGAAAUCUGAAUCACUUGGGCUUCAAAGAAGGCCAAAAGUCUUUGUAUUCAAGCAUUUAAUACUCUACAGAAAUUAACUAAACACAGCCACAUUGAAUACCAAACCCACUUACUUACCAUCUUAUCCAACUCUUAUUUCGUAAAUUUUUCUGGUAAAGAAGCGUAGUUUAUCCUGAGCUCUGCAAUAGAAUAAUUCAAUUCUUCUUCAUUGCUUUUCAAUAGGAUCCCUACAAUCAAACAAACAUAAUUACUCUAGUAAAUAACUUCAAUUUAAAAUGCAAAGAUAUAACAGAAAGGAAAGUGAUUAAUUAAAAAAUAAAACUGUUAAAACAACAGACUGAUACACUUAACAUGCCAAUUUAUAUACUAUAUAACAAUACUAAAUCAAUUAAUUUAUAAAGAUUAGAAAUGGAUUACAAAAAGCAGAAAUCUUAUUUGGCAUGUAUGAAAAUGAUACACACAUUCUUAGCCAAUCAGCAUGAAAAAGGUAUAGAAAACUAAUUUACUUUGUUAACUUUGGACAACUGGAGAGAUGAAAGAACUCUUAGUUUUUACUAUAAGUAUGACAACCAUGUGAUUUCAUUGUUAAUUGGGACUGAUGUGUGUCAUUAGGAUUGCCAAAAUUAGUGAUCUUAGAGUUUGGCAGCCAAUGACCGAAUUGGACUCAAGUUUAUCAACAUUUGAUUCAACUAAACUAAAUUGGAUACGCUCAUUAGCAUAGAAAUAUGUAUACCAUAUGACAAUAUUGAAUCAAGUUAUUUGCAAAGAUUUAAAAUGCAAUGUAAAAAGGAAAAAAUUUAUUUUAUAUGUAAUAAAAUGAUUAACAAAUUUUUUAUUGAGCAGUAUAAAAAAGGUAUUAAAAACUAACCUAAUUUAUUAAGUUUGGAAAAAUUGGACAGAUAAAAGAAAGCUUUUAAUCCUUACUAUAACUAAAAUAACUAUGUUAUUUCAUUAUCAAAUAGGAUUCAUACGUGUAAUCAGGGUUAAGAAAAUCACUGAUUAAAGAAUCUGCCAGAAAUCAUCAAAUUGGACUUGAACUUACCAAUUUCUGAUUCAAAUAAACUAAGAAAAGGAGUUGGAAUCAAACUAACCUCUGUUUUCUAUAUGCAGCAAACUGCAUCUUGUUUUUGCCCUUGUUAACAACAUAUCUUCGCUCUGUACACACCAAAAAACAGUAAACACCUCAUUCAUUACUAACAGCCAUUUCAAUCAAUUAAUUAUUUAGACAAAUUUUUCAACGAUUCCGAAGCUCAGACAAAAAUUGCAUGAGAAAAUUGAGAUUAUAUGCAAUUGGAUGUCAAAGAACCUGAAAAUACCAUAUAUCCAAUAUUUAGUGCAUACACCUAAAAACUAAUCUUUAUAUAUACUUUAAAAUAAUACAGAUCAAUGUAAUCUAAAACAUUGGAAAUGCAUAUCAGUGCAAGCCAAGGUCUCAAGUUCUCAGAGUGGGGAAUUACUGAUUAGAACAGUUAAUUCUCUGCUCCUUUUUGGGUAUGAACUAAUUAGCAUAGUAGCCAUAAAAAUACGAAACAAAAGCUCAAUAAUUUAUGCAAUUUGGUUAAAUUUUAUACAAUUUCUAGCAAAACCCAAAACUCAAUAAUACAAAAGGAACCCAAUAGAUGAUUAAAGCAAUUUUAUACACAACUUAUGCAAGUCCAAAGAAACGCAUUUGAUCAAACUUACUGAAUACUGAAAAAAAAAAUUACAAUCAAAGUACGGAUUAAUAACUACCUCAACAACUAACAGAGCCAAAGCCAAACCCUAGAGCUUCGAAGGGCAGAGACGAUCACAGAGACAAGAAUAGUCCUUAUUCCUUCCCACUGCUGCUGCUGCCACUUUCUCUCUCUAAAAACCAAUUGGAAAUUGUUUAUAAAGAGACAGAGAGGAGAGGGCUAUGAUGAUUGGAUGAAAGAAGCAUGAAAAACUAAAAGACAUGUAAGCUUGAAUUCGAGUCCCAAAUUGAAAAUAUAAGGGAGGAGUGUAAGGGUGGCUUACCGAGGUCAGGAGAGGUGAGUCUCAUAGGAAAAGUCGACGAACAGUGGCAGGAGCCAGUGCACAGUGAAAGGCCUCGCCUGUGUCUCCUGAACAGAACAGAGUGAGUGAUAGUGGUUCUGUGAGAUGGAGCGAGUGGUGGUGGUGCUGUAGUCAUGUUUUGCCGGAAAAUGGAGGCUUUGGUGCGCCUCGGUGUUUACAGAGAAAAGAAAGGGGAGUCCAGGGAGCUAGUGGUUGUUUGAUGGAGUUGAGGCUCGCCGGAGUGGCGAGUUGUGAUGUGGACUCAGGCCUCUCGGCCUCUGGGUUUUACGGAGAAGGGGAAGAUGGUUUAGGGUUGAGAGAGAUGGAGGGACGGCUAGGUUUUAGAAAAGAUGAAGAAGAAUGGGGGUGAGCAGCGCUGGGGCUACAUGUUGAGGGAAAUGAAGAGAGAGCAAGAAGAAGUCGAAGGCAGUGAACCCUACGGACAAAUUUACCCUUCUAAGUUAUAAUAAUUACCCUUCCAACCCAGCCCAAAUCUGAUGGGUUCCUUGUAAAUAAGGUGAAAUCAAGUGGCAAACAAUUGACUGUAGCCAUGAACAGUAAGGAACAGUGCCAAUUGAAAAGCCUUCUUUAGACUAAAGUAAUAAGGCUUUUCAAUUGCACUAUUCAAAUGAAUAGUAACUUGGAGUGGAUUUUAAGUUAUUUACAAAAUUACCAUCAUCUCUUCAUCGCAAAUUGAAAAUUUCGAUUUUUUCACAAAUUACCACCGCUUUUGCACAGUUUAACAGCGCCCACGCGUCAGUCAUCGUGGAAUGCUCUGCUUCGACUACAUUUCCGUCCGUUUCCAUCCCCAUUUCUUUCCCUCUUUUUCUCUCCCGACUCUCUCUCACUGCCCUAUUCUCUCACUCCCGCUCACCAUCUCACUCCAAGCAAUAGAUACAUGAACUCGAUGAGAAGCCACCAUCUCUUAUCUACAAAGCGAAGAAGAACUCAGCAGAUUGUAUGUUACUCCUCCCCAAUUUUUUCUGUAUGUUUUCUUCAAUUAUUUGUUUUUGGGUUUGUUUCUUUCCCGAGAAUAAGAAGAAAGAAACAGGAAAAAUUAAUAUUGGGUAGUUAAUUUAUGUUGGACUGUUAUAUUUAUUCAAGACAUCAGGGGAAUUAGGUACAUAAUUGAUUGAUUACCUGAGUGAAUUUCUUUUAUUUUGUCUGAAAGAUUUUUUUUUUUCUGGGAUUUUGAUGUUUUCUUGAAUUUUACCACUUUGGUCGUGGCUUCCACUCAAAUGUUAAUUUAAUUUACUUUGUUUGGGUAUUAUAGCAAAUUAUAUAUAUAGUUUGCCGUUAUAGUUUGGUCCUUUUUAUGCAGUAGAUUGUAGAAAAAUGAUCAAAAAUAGCUUCAAGCAAGCACAUGAGUUUGGUAAGUUUUGGUGUUCAUACGCUGAAUUUGUUUAUGCUUUGUGUAUUGUCUAUUCAAUUUAUAUCAGUUUCAGAAUUUAUAAUUGUGAUGUUUAUAAGUCCACGGAGUAAGUUGCAUAGUUGUGCGGCAUCUUUUAUAUGCAGAGAAGAGACGUGCUGAAUCUCACUCCGCCAUUCGCCCCUCUGACCUCUCAUGAUCUCUCACACCCUCUCUCUAAUUUCAGAACAAUAUUAAGCAGCUUGAGCUCUCUUUGCAUUGAAUCAAUGGCAGUCAUCUAAGGAUGAUUUUUCUUUGCCUUUUUGUUGGAUUAGUGAAUUUUUAGCUUAAUUUGGGUAGUGUAGGUUCCGUUUUGGCUUAAUUUCGAUUUUCAACUCUAAUAAAAUAUUGGUUUUAGGGAUUUCUUCUUUGUGAUCAUCUUCAUGUUUGAUUGGUGAUUUAGCGUGUGGAUUGUCUACUUCUUUGAUGAAAACUCUCACCGUUGGGACUAAUAUAGGUUUCUCAUAUUUUUUUGCACCAUUUGUGAGGGAUUUAAUUUUCCUUUGUGGGUUUUCUUAUACUCAAGGUAUGAUUUACAUUCUGGAAUUCAUGGUUCAAUUGGAAACCACGAUGACAUAUCAACGUGUGUAGGACCCUUGAUUUUGUAUUAUUUACAUUCCUGCCAUUACCAAAAAGCAUGGGCUGCAGAGAGAGAGGGAGAUAGGCGGGGGAUGGCAGGGAGGGGAAGGGAGAGGGAGGAGUGAGGUUGCUAUAAAAAGGGGUUAUGGUUGAUUUUUUUUUCUCCUCAAAUCAAGGGUUGGUGUCGGGAUUAAGGGAUGUGUCAAAAUUGCCAAUAGAAGCCUAAAUUAAUGGGUAGUUGUCGGUGAUUGAGAGAUUGAGAGGGAGAAAAUUGGGGGAGGUUGUCACUGACCCGAUGGAGUGAGGGAUUUUGUGAGGAUUAACUAACUUAUUGACUAGGAACACAAGACAAGACAUGCUUCCGGUAAACCGCCUCCGUCGCUUUCCUCCUCUCGCCUCCGUCUACCUCCUCUCCCUUUCUUCGUCUCCCCCUCCUCCUCUCUCUCUCUCUCUAUGGAAUCGAUCGAUCUUCGAAGAGGAUAAAAAGAUCUGAAAUGGUGUGCUUCUUCUACUGUGAUUCUGUGUUUUUAAUUUUUCUGGGUUUGGCUUCUUCUUUUAUUCCACUACUAAUUUACAAAAAUAAUGAAUUUUGUACAUUUUGUUUUUAUUUUACUUUUUGUUAUAUUUCAUUGUAAUAUCAAAUAGAGUUGGUAUUUUAAAAUCUCACUGCAAUGUUUUUUGUUAUAUUGUUGGUGGGUAUCUUUAAUUAUGCCCUGAUGGAGAAAGGCAAAGAGGACAGACCUGGAUUUGGGGCAUAAAAGGGAUCUUUAGAUUUCUGUGAAAGUACUUUGUGCCUUUUUGCUAUUGGUGAUGAGUGUUCAUGAAUAUUUAUGCUUUAAUAUAGCUGUUACAGGAGCAAGUUGUUUAGUUAAAAUCCUAAGAAGAUUAGGGUAAAACAUUCCGGCUCUCUCAUUAUUGAUAGUCUGAAUUUCUGCAAUCUCUGAGAUAUAUUUGGGAUAGUUUUAUAGUGAUAUACAUCAAGGUUCAAGAAAAACUUUGCUGCACUGCACUAUAGGAGUAUCUGGUUGAUGAAAUUUUUCUGAUUUAAGCAUUUAGCUCCUCGAUUGCAUUAAAUCAGUAUUUAAAGAAGUUUUUGUCUGAGAAUGCAUUGAUAGAAUUUUUUUUGCCCAAAAAUUAACUCACAGAGCUUCCUGUGAGUUAGUCUUAGCUUUUGAUUUAAUUUUUUUAGAAUUAUUAUCAUUUUUUUUAUCUCUGCUGCUGUUUUGGAUUUUUUUUAAUGAUUUUUAUGCGAUGUUCAUCUGUGUAGGCACUCAAAUUAGUGUUUUGGAGUGCAUAUGGACCAGACACCACAAAAGAGAAAACGGAAACCAAAAUCAGAGCCAUCAAAACAAACAAAUGCUGGUAUGUCCUAAAAAAGGUUGGUUUGUGCACUUUCAAAGAAUACAUGGAAGAAGAUAAUAUUGAUCAUGGUGUAGAAUGUGAUGGUAAUGUGGUUGAAAAAGAUAAAAUGUUGCACGAAAAGAUCUCAGAGCUCAUUGACGAAAAUAUGCAGCACCAGGCUGAGUUGAUAAGGAGAAACAAGGAGAAUAGUGAAACAAUUGAGUGGCUUUUAUCCCAGGUGCAUAAGCUAACGGAUGAGAACAAAAUUUUGAAGAUUAAUCUGGGAAUCCAUAAGGAUACUACUGAUCAUACAAUUGCAAUCCAUAAGGAUGCUACUGAUUAUACAAUUACAAGGCAAAACAAGCCUCAGUUUUCAAAGUCUAAGUCCAUAGGGCCAUCUUUCCCUGGAAGGCUCACUGGAUGCCUAGAACUUGGAUCUUAAUUAGCUACUUUUCAACUUUAGUAGGUAGCGUUAUAAGUUUUCAAAUGUAUCUGUUUAUAUGCUUUCAUAAUACAUGUGAAGAUUCCGAGUCAAUUAUAACAUAUUUUAAUUUUUAAUUUUAUGAGUAUAGAAAAGGAAUUGAAUGCUUCGUUAUUUUGAUCUUGCAGCUGAAGCCAAGUCUGGAUAGAGAGAAAGAUCUCAUGGUAGGAAUCAUGGACUUGAUGAAGGUGAGGUUAACAAAGUGUGCUUUAGCACCAAGAUUGGAAUCUGGGUGUUCUGAGUUUUGUUUUGUUGUGAUUUUUCUAUAAUCUAGAUGCUGAAAUACUUGGAGUUGGAAUUAAUAAGAAUUGAUUGAACAUGGAUUUUUUAUUAGAUUGGUAUGGCUGACAUAGUUAAGAAGUAGUUUAAGAUGCAGUGAUUAGGGCAUUUCUUUAACUGAACAUAUUUGUUUUCAUGAGGUAGAUAGAAUCCUCUGUAAUUUAAUUAAUUAGAUUGAAAUUUGGGGUCUGGAUUCUUAAACUACUAUGGUGGUUAAUGUAGCUUUUUUGGUGAAUUUUUCAAGUGGGGAAAAAGAGGUGGGUGUGGGAUUUAUAUUGUUAUUCUCAGUUGGUAUAUAAAUAUUUGAGUGUGCAAGAAAUGGUUACCAUACAAAAAAUACAAGAACUGAAAUUAGAAGGGAUAAUGGCAGUUUGCAGAGGGUUGGUUCAGGGAUGGUAAAAGUUGUGUACGUGGCGAGAUUAAUGGAGGUGGUUUCGUGGUGGCGUAGUUCUCCGUGAAAAAUGGCGACGGUGGUCGCCUUGCUAUUUCUGUGCAGCGAGCACAGUAUCAAGAGAGAGAGAGAGAGAGAGGUGAGGGAAAUAGGGAGAGUAGUAGAGAGGGAGUGAGACAUGAGGGUGGUGGCAAGCUGGUGCCUUGAGGGAGUGGCGAGUGAGGUGGUGAUAGUUUCUCGAACGGGAGAUUUAUGGUGUACUAGAGAACUUGACUCCUCUCUCAGUCUGGUCUCCGGAAGAGAAAACCAAACAUAGCUAUGCAUUAGCAAAGUUUGAAAUGAGGGUUUUUAAUCUUUGGCAUGCUAUUGUCUUUAUUUGAUCAUUCUUUGAAAAAAAUUAUGAUGGACAAGUGAAAUAAACUGAAUGAAAACUUGGAGAAGAAGUUCUGAUUUUUAAUAUCUUUAAUCCGGGAUUAUUGUGAUGCCCUUUGACAAUUGAAAUGUGAAUGCAUUAUGUUGCUUAGAACACAAGUCAAUAUUUUUUAAACUGUGUUAGGUAUGAUGGAUGCUAUAGAUAGAAAAAUGUUGGCUUAAGGUUGGAUUCCAGGUAAAUAUGUGCUAUCCUGGAUGAUGGAAUUGCAUAGCAUCCUAAGUUUCUUUCUAUAUUUUCCUGAACAGAUUUACUGAAAAUGUUUUUCAAGGAUAUUCAACAAUAACUUUAAUCUUCAGACUUUCUCAUUGUUGCAGUCUCUAAUGCUUUAGUUAAUCCUAUUAGCCUAUUGUUAGAUCAAUUAAAAGAGUGUUUUAGCCUUCUGUUAGUGUUUCAUCUUAUAUACUUUCUCUCAUUGUUAGAUCAGUUGUGAUUCUGUGUGGUUCAUGUUUCCGGGUGUAAAAUUGUUCAUACAAUCUCACUUUUGCAUCUAAUUAGUGAGCCAAAAAGAAAAUUUUUAACAUUUUAAAUCCUAAUUAUCUCUAUUUCAGCCAAUGCAUAUUUUUUCCACCUAAAAGUCUUUGAUGCAUGUCUUCUUUUUUUUUUUUUUAGUAUUGAAACAUACAUUGUUCGAAAUUUGUUGAGCACUUGAAACUUUACAAGUUAAGAUUUGGAAUUUUAUGAUAUAUGAUAACUGCUUUGUAUGUUUGUUGUUGAUUAAGCACGUGGGAUACAACUCGGUCUUAGACACUUAAUAAAGGUUUAUCGUUUGAAAUUAAUGGGGCACAUGUUAUUCUCAUGAUAUUGGCUGCAAAUGCUGCAGAGUGAUUACAGAAACCAACGCAGAAAAAGCUUUAUAGGUAACUUUUACAUUUAUAGCAUUUCAGAAUUCGCAUAAAUACCAGAAAACAUCUUGAAAGACUACCAUUUCAAGUGGAUCUUUUCUUUCAUGUGGAAACCAAGCUUCCUUUUUCUUAACUCAUUCUAUUAAAACUUCAAAUUAUGUUCAAUUUGUUGAUUGGCUGUUAGCACUUAAGUUGAUCUAUUUAUUUCCAAUGUACCCUUUUUUAUGCAUGAGUGCUUUUCUGUUGCAUGUUUAGAAGAUGAAUGCAUCAAUUCUUAGGUAACCUUCUUUUUGUUCUGUGACGUAGGACAGAGUAGGACAGCGGAAAUUAGAUUGUUUAGCGGAAGUGAAACGACAUAAAACUUAAAUUGAAACAUCAUAUGCUUCUGUUUUAUAGGACUGGGGGGGGGGGGGAUAAAAACAGUAUAUUUUGUUGUUGCAUGUUUCAUUUAAUUCAAACUUUCAAAUAUACACUCUCUCUCUUCAUUAUGCACAGUAUGUUGAUGUGAACUGAAUCUAAAUAAUUUGUCUUUCUGUCGAAAAUAUUCAUAGUAUGUCCUGCAUUACAGUUUCAAAACCCACAGCAGCACGUGGGCAAUUUUAUUUUCCCUCUCCCUAUAUGUAGUUUAAUAUAAUUCAACGAGUUCAAAGAGAAUGAUCAGAAUGAAGGUUUGUAUUAGAUCCGAUGUGCUUCCUCUUUCUAUGCAUUUUGGUUCAAAUUAGGGUUUUAGGUUGAAACCCGAAACGAAAAGAGAAUAAAGUUUUCAGGAUGUUCGGAUUUUGUGUUUCGAUGAGAGGAAAAAAUGAGAAAUUUGUUAAGAAAAGUUGUGGUCGGAUUUUACAUGUUUACCGUUUUCAAGGUACGGUGUUCAUCGAUCUUAACUUUAAAUUUGUUUCUCAAUUUUUUUGUAGUUUUGGAUUUGUAAAAACCCUCGAUUGAAUCGGGUGCUGGUAUGGUCCCUUACAGGAAAAAAAAGUUUCAUUUUUUUCCCCUUAAAAUUUUAGUUUUUGUUAUUUUCUUUUUUCUUCACAAAGGAACUUAGGUGGUAGCUGUAUUACUAAUUAGCUACAGAAUUUAUAUAUUCUUAUGAGUACGGUAUGGGUGCAGGUUUGCUAUGUUGCUUUUUGGGAUGAAAUUACUUUAAAUACAAAGGAAAAUUUGAUCGAUAUUAUUGGGUUGUACGCAGAAAUCUAAGUUUUACCUAUUUUGAUAAUGCUUGGUUUUUGUGUAUUGAGUUGGAUAGACAGUUCAUAGGUUUGGUUCCAUAUUUAUUCGGAGAAGAAAAACACAAAGAGGGCAACACAAUAACCCUAGGAUGAUUAUAUAUGGAAUGAAUUAAAUCUAUUAACGAAUUAUAUUUUGGGUGGUGUUAGGGAGAAACGCCUACACUCCAAAUAUUUAUGAAUUGGAUUCAUUAUAAAAUAGGUAAAUUGUAUGCAUUACUUCUUUUGGCACUAAAUCUUUUGUUAAAUUUUAUUUUGCUGACUUUUAGUUUUUGACUUUCCUUUGGCAGGACUUUUAAUUAAGCAUGCAUCUUUGGUGUAAUAUUAUCAUAUUCUUGAGGUUUGAAUUUUUUACUCUUACUUUUGUGACCAUUAUAUGUUUGCGUAUCUCUCUUUUGGGUUAUCCAUCAAUUAAAAAUUAUUAUGUGAGGAUUUUGAUUGUUGACUUAUCAUUGGUAUAUUUCAAGUGGUUUUUGAUAUUUUGAUAGGUGUUGGAAAAAAAAGAUGAAAUUGUUUUGCGCUCAACGCAUAGUUAAUCUUAAAAUAGGGUUUAUUAAAUUGGUUUGAUGAUAUAUAGGUGGUAACAAAUUAAUGAUGUCAACUCCUACAAGGAAGAGGCUGAUGAGAGAGACUUCGAGAGGCUGCAACAAGACCAGCCUGCGAGGAUUAGUGGGGCGCCUCAGGAUAACAAUAUAAUGUUGUCGGCGAGGUUAGUUAUUUUUUAGGCUUUGCUUCUACAAACGUGAACUCUUUACAUGGAAACCGAAUUUUAUGUGAAUUUUAAUAGUUAUAUAUCAAACUCCUCUGCACUGAACUCUGUGUAUUACAACAAUUAUAAUUAGAACUUGGAUGAAAUGGGCUCCAUCCAGCAAAACUCCUGCCCUAACAAUAAUAAUUAGAACCAAAUUUGAUAAUUUCUCAUAGUUUAGGCCAUUUGGCCAAGUCAGAAUGAGAAACAUAGAUGUUUUCUUUAUCUUAUGCUAUUUGUUUGGCUGUAAAUCGUAUGGAGUAAAUCUCAUGGUGUCAUUCUAAAUAAACUGGAAAUAUGUCUCAUGCAAAAUUAAUGUUGAUGUUUAUCAAUGGAAAUAAGUUUUGAAGUGAUUACCUUUCUUUAUACAAGUUCUCUUCACAAUGAAACCUAUAUUAUAGUGUCACUUUUACUUGCUUUCGCACAAAAGGGGUGUCUGGACAUGUAAUUGGCGUGUCAUUACUCACUAAAUCUUUUUUAUCCUUAUCUUCUAUAUUAAUAUCACCAUUUUUUUGGGUGCUCAUUGAGUGGUUUGGCAGGUAAUAGAUAAAGGUUUUAAUGCAUUCAUUUAAUGUUAUUACAGAUCUGCUAAAUUCUUCAAGAAGUCCGGUUUACAGAACUGAAGCUGUUUAAGCACAAGGUGUCCCAGUUUAUAGAUGAGGUAUUAUAAAAUUUAAAAAGCGUCAAUAUUAUCAUUACUGAUCCUUAACAUUUAACUAUCAAAGCUUGAGUUUAUAAUAAUUAAUUCUUCACUGAUGAUAUGUUGUGAUGGGGUUUAGUAAUUUUCAGUAUUCUUCAAUUCUUUUAAUCUGCAAAAUCAAAUAGCCCAUGGAAUUUAUGGCAUACAAUUAGUUUCCUUUCAGUUGGGUUGAAAUGAUAUUGAUUGUGUUGUUAUGAAGCUCCUUUUUAUAGUUAGGUUGAAAAUCAUAUUGAUAGAUUCUUUAUUUGGUUGGUCCUAUCUGUAACAAAUGGGAUUGUUUUGUUUGAUGUUUGAAUCAAAAUUUGAUCUUUUUUUGUGUGAAAUUAUGAUGGAAUCGCAAAUUUGUGAGGUAUAUCUUAGAUUAUUGGUUGCAUAGUCACCUUCCCACAACUAUCACAUUGUCUCUUGACUAGAUGAAUUUUUAUAAUUUCUAGGAUCUACGGUUGCAAUGCUUUUGAUGCAUGCAAUCAGGAGGAUGCUACUACUCUUAUGGAGCUUCUUUGGCAUGGUAAGUUGAAGUUGCAUAGCAUUUUUUUUUCGUUCACGAAAUUCGUUAUCUUGCUAUCCUGGCAAUUAGCAGUGUCUGACAACUGGUGAAGUAUAUGAAUAUAUGUGGAAGUUUGAAUUAUACAAAUGAAAGUGAACUUUUAACAACUCUAACUUAGAAUUUUUAUUAAUUUCUUUCAUUUGUGUUCGACUAUUUUACUUUUUUGGUAUAUAAGUACAACUAUAGAUCGAAAACCACAUAAAUUACCUAACAGCCAAGGAAUUGUUUGUGGUAGAACAUAACAUGAUGUAAAGCUCAAAUUUUGGGCACUUAAAUAUAUGUUUUUUUUUUUUCAAUUACAAUCAGUCAGCAUGAAAGUUCAAUUGGAUUUGUUCUGGUCUCCAAAAAUUUUUCUUUGUUUGGUUACCGAUUAAUUUAUGUGGUGAGAGUUUAGUUUUUGCUUUUCUGCCUAUGUAUAUAUGAUUUGAAAUGGACAAUUCAAUUUUCUAUAUAUAAAUUUGUAGUCGAAGAGUUCGAAGGAGAGGUGAAUUAGAAACAAUGGGGGGAAGAGUGAUGGAGUUGAGGAGUUGAGAGUUAAUGAGGUAUACUUGAAUUUCUGUAUGAUGUCCUUGGUAUUGGGAGAUCAUUGAGACUAACUAUCUGGUUGAUUAAUCACGAUGUCCUUGGUAUUGGGAGAUCAUUGAGACUAACUAUCUGGUUGAUUAAUCACUAAUUUGAACUAUUUGUGCUUGGAAAAUUAGCUACUUGAACAAGUACUGAACGCUUUCUAUGUUUUCUCUUAUUAACUGCUGAAAUAGGUGCCUGCCCUAUAGGACACAUAUUUUGCCUUCUUAACUACAAGGGAAAAAUAUGUGUGAAUUGCAUGUUGCUUAUGUUUCUUAUGGAAACAGAACUUUUUUUGGCAACCAUGUCUUUGUGAUCAAGAAUGUUCAGUUUCUUCCUACUAAUUGUGCAAUGUCUUUACAUGUCAACUUAGUGGAAUGUAUAUAAAAGUCAAACUACUUAUCUUAUCGAUCUCAUUCACUCAUGUGUCCCUCUGUUCAUUCAUGAUUGUGUUGAAUUUUUUCAGGUAAAAUGUGUCUUAUUCAUGCAGUUACGCCUGAAAUAGUGGUUCCCACUGCAACACGUGGGCUUAUUUUCUAGUUAUGUCUAUUUUUGUCAUUAUACAAAAUUUCCAAAAUUUUACAUUAGUAUUUACCAAACGCUUUUAUACUACUUUUCAUACUUACAGCAGUUUUAAAAAUACAGUUUACCAAACGUUCAGCUGCUUUAUUUUACAGCUGAUUAUUCUUAAAGCACAACUGUUGACCCUAAAAACUACAAAGCCUACGUGGCGCGCAGGCCGAGUAAUUAAUGAGCUAACUACGUCCUUCGGUGAAUGCGGGGCGUGCCAACUCGUCGGCCGAGCUCGGCCGAGGAGUAAAUUUGUUGAUGUUGCGUUGGGUCGCGCUACUGACUUCUGCGUCUUGCCAUUGCGGCCGAGAAAGGAACACGUCUCGGCCUCUUGGGCUCUCGAACCUGAAGACAAGGUUACUAUUCUUACGAAGUUCAAAAUCAAAUUCGGCUUUCAAUGUGCCGAAUGUAAUAACUGUAACACCUCACUUCGCCGAGAAGGCUGAUGAGAUGACCUCGACCAAUAAGGAUUUAGAAACCCUUCUCGACCGAGACUUGGAUAGGUAAUCAAUCGUUCUCGCCGCAGUGCUGUUGAUGCCAACGGAAGGUACUGCGAGACCGACUGACUCUACAGUGACAGAGCUAUCUAUGCCGACUUAAGAUAUCACCGGUUGCUUCCACAGUGCUGUUGAUGCCAACGGAAGAUGUGUCAGUGAAAAAGGAAAAAGAAAAAUCACAAGUUGUGAGAGUUUGCGCAGGGCAAUUUUGUAUUGAUUUUGUGGGUCUCGUUCCGUUGCCACUGCCUCUCUAUUUAUAGAGCUAACUUAGCAUAAAACCCGGCCGUGACCAUCAAUCACCACCACAAAUAAUAAUCGUUACGCGAGGAUGAUUAUCCAAUGAGAAUCGUAGCACUCAAAUCUCUUUGGUGCUAACGCAUUUCAGCCAAAACCACAUAACAAAUCAUGGCAUGCCAAUUCCGUCUUUUGCUAAAGAUAAGCAUUGUCGUUCAAAUCCUAGUCCCAAAGCCCUGGCAUAUCAAGCUUUAUCCAUAGGAUAUUCACUUCACCUAUUUGGCAACCUUGAAUUUGCUAAUAAUUAUCCCAUGCAUGCAUCACAUUAGCUUACGUAAUUAAUCUUUCAAGUUGGACUCCACCUUGAUCACCAACUGAUGCCACCACGUGCUAGGACUCUUCUCAUAAUGCAUGAUGCUUAAUCCCCGCGUCGAAUGAUAAGAAUCCCACAUUAAAUCGAACUGUUCUGCUUGCUUCGGUAUAGUUUGCGUCACAUUUAUCUUGUAUAAAAAGUGUCAAGAUAAUUCAUUAUUAAAAGAUCAUUAUUAUGAUUAAAAAUCAUAAUAUUAUCCCCUAACAACAAUAAAAUUAUCUUAACUUUCCUAUCCGACGGUGUGGAGCAAUGCUCACUCAACGGCCUUGAUCGCACGGGCCGAUGAUGUAAAUUGAGGUCCAAACAACAACAGAAGCAGUUUUAAAAAUAAGAACAGCAAUCCCAAACUGGCCCUUAGUCGAGGCGAGUCCUCCUUUGUCCCAUUGAACUUAGUCCUGCCAGUGAACAAACACGGAUUACACUACCUUUUAACUUAAGCUAGUCCAGUGAGAGCUAAAAAGGCAAACAAACAUCCCCUUAAUCGUUUCUGUACAGAGACUGCUAAAGAAACAGCAUGAUCAAAAUCAAAGAAUCAUGAGGCGGCCCCAGCAAGCCCCUCAGCGGCUCUACGUCCCUCCGUCGUCGCGCGACGGAAACAGCCACGACAACUACGAAGACACCGACCUCGACAACAUCGAUUACGACGACAACGAUGGUUCCAAGGACCCCGGGAGUGACGACAACAACCACGGCAACGCUGGCAGCGGUGAUGAAGAAGUCGAUCCUCUGGAUGCUUUCAUGGAGGGGAUUCAUGCGGAGGUGAGGUCAGCUCCGCCGCCGAAGCUGAAAGUGAAGGCCGAGAAGUACAGGGACGAUGAGGAGGAGGAUCAUAUGGAGAGGUUUCUGAGGGCUAAAAGGGACGUGGUGCUCACGCUGGCAUCAGAUGCUUUACACACCAGAUAUGACUCCGAUGAAGAGGUAUAUGCGACCGCCAAGGCCGUCGAUGCCGGGUUGUUGGAGUACGAUUCAGAUGAUAAUCCCAUUGUUCUGGACAAGAGGAAGAUCGAGCCGAUUUCAGCUCUCGAUCAUAGUUCAAUCGACUACGAGCCGUUUAAUAAGGAUUUUUACGAGGAGAAAGAGUCGAUUUGAGGUAAAUUCCAACCGAACUGAGAAUUUGGUUUCUUUCUUUUUUUCUUUCCAUUCACAUUUGUUUUUUAAAUUUUUGUGUGAAUUUAGUCGAAAUGCGUAGCAAAGUAUUUAAAUUUAAGUGGGAGAGAAUAUUGACCGGUAGAAGUUCUCAAGGAGAGAUUUGAAAUGGAAGACUAGAGUUAACUGGUGUUUUGGUUUCCUUGUUUAGGGAUGAGUGAGGAGGAUGUUUUUUAGUACAAGAAGAGCUUGGCCAUCCGUACGUCGGGGUUUGAUGUACCGAGGCCAGUUAAGACAUUUGAAGAUUGUGGAUUUUCUUCACAACUCAUGGCUGCCAUAAAAAAACAAGACUACCAAAAGCCGACACCAACACAAUGCGUAGCUCUACCCAUAGUUCUUUCCCGGAGAGAUAUAAUUGGUAUUGCGAAAACUGGUUCUGGAAAGACUGCCACUCUUGUCCUUCCAAUGAUUGUCCACAUUAUGGAUCAGCCAGAGCUUCAAAAAGAAGAAGGUCCAAUUGGAGUGAUAUGCGCUCCUACUAGAGAGCUGGCGCACCAAAUAUACUUAAGAGUCCAAAAAAAUUGCAAAAUCACAUGGGAUACGUAUCUCUGCUGUAUAUGGUGGAAUGUCUUAAGCUUGAUCAGUUCAAAGAACUUAAGGCAGGAUGUGAAAUAGUUUUUGCUACUCCUGGGAGAUUGAUCGACAUGCUUAAAAUGAAGGCACUGACAAUGCUUAGGGCAACUUACCUAGUACUUGAUGAGGCUGAUCAGAUGUUUGACCUUGGGUUUGAGCCUCAAAUUAGAUCUAUUGUUGGUCAGAUUCGGCCAGACCGACAGACAUUGCUCUUUUCUGCGACAAUGCUCCGUAAAGUUGAAAAAUUGGCUAGGGAGAUUCUCUCAGAUCCUAUAAGAGUUACAGUGGGUGAGGUGGGAAUGGCCAAUGAGGAUAUCACUCAGGUUGUUCAUGUAAUUCCUUCUGAUGAUGAGAAGCUGCCCUGGCUUUUUGAGAAGUUACCAGGAAUGAUUGAUGAGGGUGAUGUUUUAGUAUUUGCUUCAAAAAAAGCUGCAGUGGAUGAGAUCGAGUCACAGCUUGCUCAGAAAGGUUUUUAAGUCACAACUCUGCAUGGUGACAAGGACCAAGCAUCUCGGAUGGAUAUUUUGCAAAAAUUUAAAUCUGGCAUUUACCAUGUUCUUGUUGCAACUGAUGUUGCUGCUCGUGGUCUUGACAUCAAGUCAAUUAAGUCAGUUGUGAACUUUGAUAUUGCAAAAGACAUGGACAUGCACAUCCAUUGAAUUGGUAGAACAGGUCGGGCUGGUGAUAAGGAUGGCACUGCGUACACUCUUAUUACACAGAAAGAGGCACGUUUUGCUGGUGAGUUGGUUAAUAGCUUGGUUGCUGCUGGUCAGAUUGUCUCCACGGAGCUCAUGGACCUUGCGAUGAAGGUAAUUUUGCAUUACUAUUAACAUUUUUUUUUUGUGGUUUAUAUAGCGAGUUUAUACAUGCAUCCAACUACUUGCCUUUUUGUUUUAGAGAUGGUGGUUAUAACCUUAGUUUGUAAUCCUAUAAUGCAUUUAAGGCGAAUACAAGUUAUUAAUAUGUUCUCUGGUAAAACGUGCUCUUUUUAAUGCAAUAUGGAUUCUGGACAAUUACACCUACUGGUGUUUGUCUCACAAAUAAACUACGUUAUCUUCACUCUACUAUAUAGGUGCAUAGGUUGCUUCUGAUUUAGAGUGCGCUUUCGAGAGAGAUGGAUUUGAUGACCAUUUGGUCUUCAAGGCCUUAUUUUG
rnacentral:lncRNA from 1 species